ACAAGAGAUAGCAACACUUUACUCAUAAAUAAAACACCUUUUAUUCAUCAUCAAAUGUCAAUUACACUUUACAAAUUUCUGGGUUAUCUAACUACUAAAACUUAUAUCAUCCUUCAGCCCUAUGCUCCGAGCAUGCUGGAGAUGCUUAACCCUACUCAGUCCCUUCGUGAGGGGAUCUGCUGGGUUCUCAUCCGAUGAUACCCUCUUUGCCACGAGGAGUCCUUCUUCGAUCCGAUGUCUAAUGAAAUGGUAUUUUCUGUCGAUGUGUCUGGAUCUCCCAUGAUCCCUUGGUUCCUUGGCUAAGGCAACAGCACUUUCACUAUCACAGAAAAUUUCCAUUGGCUCUUUAAUAGCUGGUACAACUCCAAGGUCUCCAAUGAAGUUCUUCAGCCAUAUCGCCUCCUUUGCUGCUUCACUAGCUGCAAUAUACUCUGAUUCACAAGUAGAAUCUGCCACUGUCUCUUGCUUGGAACUCUUCCAAGAAAUUGCUCCUCCGUUUAGGGUAAAGACCCAGCCCGACUGAGAGCGGAAAUUAUCCCUAUCAGUCUGGAAGCUAGCAUCACUAUACCCUACAACUCUCAAGUCAUCACUCCCACCGAGGGUAAGGACCCAGUCCUUAGUCCUCCGUAGGUACUUGAGGAUAUUCUUUACCGCAGUCCAGUGUGCCUUGCCAGGGUUCGCCUGAUACCUGCUAACCAUGCUCAAGGCAAAAGCUACAUCGGGUCGAGUACACGUCAUAGCAUACAUGAUCGAUCCUACAGCCGAAGCGUAAGGUGUUCGACUCAUUUCUGCUAUCUCAGCCUCAGUGCUAGGGCUUUGUGUCUUACUCAAUCUGGUGUUACUCUGGAUGGGUAACUCUCCUUUCUUGGAAUCCUGCAUGCUGAAUCUCUUCAGCACCUUAUCCAAGUAGGUACUCUGACUAAGUCCAAUUAGUCUUUUACUCCGAUCUCUCAAGAUUCUUAUCCCUAGAAUAUAGGCAGCUUCACCAAGGUCCUUCAUAGCGAAACACUUCCCAAGCCAGGACUUUACUUCCUGCAGGGUUGGAAUGUCGUUUCCUAUGAGUAGUAUGUCAUCCACAUACAAUACCAAAAAGCUAACUAUACUCCCACUAGCCUUGACAUACACACAAGAUUCAUCUUCACUCCUAGAAAAGCCAAAUUCCUUGACCUUUUCAUCAAAGCAAAGAUUCCAUCUGCGAGGUGCUUGCUUCAAUCCAUAAAUGGAUUUCUCAAGCUUACACACUCUAUUAGGGUACUCGUUGCUGACAAAACCCUCUGGCUGACUCAUGUAAACAUCUUCAGCCAACUUUCCAUUAAGGAAAGCGGUUUUGACAUCCAUCUGCCAUAUUUCAUAGUCAUGAAAUGCAGCUAUGGCUAACAGAACCCGAAUAGACUUAAUCUUGGCUACCGGAGAAAAGGUCUCAUCAUAAUCCACUCCAGGAAUUUGAGAGAAGCCCUUUGCAACCAGUCUAGCCUUAUAAGUGUGUACUUUACCAUCCAUGUCGGUCUUCUUCUUGAAGACCCAUUUGCACCCUACUGUCUUACGACCUGGUACAUUUUCAACCAAGUUCCAAACUUGAUUGUCAUACAUGGAUUGUAUCUCGCUAUCCAUAGCCUCUUUCCAUUUAGCAGACUCGGGGCCUGCCAUGGCUUCCUCGUAGCUGUUAGGGUCAUCUUGACUUACUAGUGUCUCAUCACUAAUAAGUGUCUCACCUUCUGCAGUAAUAUGGAAUCCAUAGUAAUGCUCAGGUGCACUCCUAACUCUCGUGGAACGUCUCAGAGGUACAGAUUUGUCAAUUGGCUCAACAGGAGUUUCCUCCUCAAGUUGAGGGCUAGAGUUUGAAGUUCCUUCACCGCUUGAUUCUUGAAUUUCUUCAAGAUCAAUUUGCCUCCCACUGUCUCCUUGGCUUAUAAACUCUCUUUCUCGAAAGACUCCUCUUCUUGCUACAAAGACCACAUUGUCACUAGGUCUGUAGAAGAGGUAACCAAAGGAUCGCUGUGGGUAACCGAUGAAAAUACACCUCUCGCUUCGAGGUUCGAGCUUAUCAUGAGUCUCGCGUCUCACGAAAGCCUCGCAACCCCAAAUCUUGAUGUGGUCUAGUUUAGGUACUUUACCAGUCCACAUCUCGUGAGGAGUUUUGGCAACUUUCUUUGUAGGGACUAGAUUAAGAAUAUGGGCGGCAGUCUCUAAGGCAUACCCCCAGAAUGAGAUUGGUAGCGUAGCUCGACUCAUCAUGGAACGAACCAUAUCUAACAAGGUUCGAUUACGCCUCUCAGCCACACCAUUCAACUGUGGUGUCCUGGGAGGUGUCAAUUGUGAGACUAUCCCACAUUCCCUUAGAUAGUCGAGGAACUCUGAACUAAGAUACUCACCACCACGAUCGGAUCGAAGCAUCUUAAUGUUCCUGCCCAAUUGAUUCUCGACUUCCUGUUUAAAUUCCUUAAACCUCUCGAAAGUCUCUGACUUAUGCUUGAUCAAGUAGACAUAUCCAUAUCUACUAUAAUCAUCAGUAAAAGUCAAAUAAUAACGAUUAGCAUCCCUUGUGGCAUGUUUGAAUGGUCCACACACAUCCGUGUGUAUAAGGUCCAACAAACCUUCACCCCUCUCACACGAACCUGUGAAGGGUGACUUUGUCAUUUUUCCAAGUAAGCAUGAUUCGCAACUAUCAUCUGACUUUAGGUCAAACGACUCCAAGACUCCAUCCUUUUGGAGUUGGCCUAUGCGUUUCUUGCUUAUAUGUCCAAGACGACAAUGCCAUAAAGAUGCUUUAUCCAAGUUAUUAUUAGUAGAAUCAAUACACAAAACAUUAUUUCCCAAGUUAUCUACAACAGAUACAGCUUCAUACACACCAUCACAAGGUAAUGCUUUAAAAUAAAAGACAUUAUUAUAGAAAACAUCUAUAGAACCAACUUCAUUAUUAAAUGAAAAGGUAAACCCUUGUUUGUACAAAGCAUGAAAGGAAAUAAUAUUUCUUGCCAUUCCUGGCGAAUAACAACACUUAUUCAAAUCUAAACUAAACCCACUACUUAGCGAUAAAGUAUAAACUCCAAUCUUGGUAACAGGUAUAGCUUUCCUAUUCCCCAUGAUCAAGUUUAUCCUUCCUUGCUCCACAUCCUCACUUCUUCUUAGUCCCUGCAAGUCACAACAAAUGUGAAUACCACACCCGGUAUCAAGGACCCAAGAAUUAGAAUGGGGUGAGUUAUUAGAAAUGAUAGUGUAAAUACCUGCAUGGUUGGGUUUAACUUUCCCAUCCUUCACAUCUUGCUGGUAUUUUGGGCAGUUCCGCUUCCAAUGAGCUUUUUCAUGGCAAUAGAAGCAUUCAGCCUCUUUUGGGUCAGAAGAAGGAGUAACGAAACCUUUCUUGGUUCCACUUGAAGAAGAGCCAUCAAGGGUCCGAGCCUUGGUACCCUUAGAAGAGCUCUUUCUCUUCCUCCCUCGACUUUUCCCGAUUGCCAAAACCGGAGUAGAGUUUUGAGUAGGAGUGAUAGCAACCGACUUCCCCUUAAGACCUGUUUCUGCGGUCUUGAGAAGUCCCUGAAGUUUGCUGAGGGUGACUUCUUCCUUGUUCAUGUGAUAUGUCAUGCGGAAUUGAUCAUAGCACGAUGGUAAGGAAUGCAAAAUAAUAUCUAUUGCAAGAUCCUCCGGGAAGUUCACAUUAAGCUUCAGCAAACGAUCCACAUACCUUUGCAUUUUCUGCAUGUGGCUCGUGACGGAUUCCCCGUCCUUCAUCAUGGUUGUUAUCAUGGAGCAGAUGAUUUCAUACCUCUCUUGUCUUGCACUUUGAUGGUAUCUUUCCAUCAAAUCUUGGUGCAUGUCAUAAGGGUAGAAAUCCUCAUAAGACUUUUGGAGUUCCGCUGUCAUCGUGGCCAUCAUGAUGCAAGCCACUUUCGUAGCAUCCCUUUCAUGUGCCCGAAAUUCAGCGAUCUCCUGAGGAGUUGCAGUGGACUCAUCAAUCUCCUUAAGCUCCUUGUCAAGGACAUAUUCUUUGUCCUCGUAGCGGGUAAUCAUCCUGAUGUUUCUGAUCCACUCAUUGAAGUUGGAUCCAUCAAAGGUGACUUUCCCACACAAGUUCAUAAGGGUAAAGGAGCCAUUAGGAUUAGAGCCAGAAGCAUUGUUGAAAGACAUCUGAAGGAAAGAGGACAAGAUUAGUUUAGAUAUAAGAGAGUCCUUAAUAAAACACCCAAAUGUAAUAUUAAGGCUAGGAUCCAAUCACAAUAUAAUAUAACUUAGAAGAGGUAUGCCGUAAUCUAAGCUAUAUCAUAUUUGAAAGGUAGGUGAAUGACGAUUCACCAAUUUCCACCACGAAAACCGCAAUAUUUUAGUAUUAGGUUUUUGAAUGGUUCUUAGAAAUUCCUAGAUUCUUUGAGAUUCAAUGAACUUUUCAAAGGCAUGUUUCAAUCUCGAGUGUGCCCUCCAAGUUUUGUGACUGGGAUACCGAGGAUCACAAAACGAGGUGUGAAGUAACCAUGCAAAUCACUUGGUACCCUUAAAGUUUAUCACUCAAUCGAUGUGCCGGUUAACCACACACGCUCCAUCGAUACUAUAAUAAACCCUAAGUCACCCUUUACCUACCUUGUUAAGUCCAAGUUAGUGUGCCGGUUAACCACACACGCUCCACCAACGACUUAAUCAAAGUGUAAAGUGUAAUUUCAUGGAAUAGCACCUUAUUCACAUUUUUCCUAAAGUAACUAAGAUUGGGAAUUUAAUAAAACAUUUAGUUACUUUAUAAUAUUCAUCAUACUUUGAAUGAGAAUUAAUAAGUCCUUGUCUUACCCGUUCGGCUAACGACCCUCCACCGAUCAAGCAAGCGGUGGGUGAGAGUGGACACCCAUUAAGUCACCAUUUUAUAGGCAACAACCUUAUACCCACCUUAUAGACCGGCUUCGUGAAUGAGGCGUACUAGCGGUAAGACGACUUUGUUCUUAUACAUAUAUAUAUAAUUAUUAAAUCAUAAUAAUAUAAGUAUAAGGGUUGAAUUUUAACUUUUAAAAUUCUAGGGGUUGGAACUAAAGUUUUAACUUAACUUUACUUGUUCCAAAACUUGAGGGCAAGUUUUGUAAACUUUCAAAACUUUUCAUUUCUUGUAACUUAUGAGUUUAAUAGAGUAAUAAAAUGAGGACUUUUCAUUUUUCCUAACUCUUGUGUUCUUUUAAUGGUUUUUAAUCCAAGAGACUUUUGGUUUUCCAUAACUUGAGGACAAGUUAUGGACUCCAUUAAAACACAUUAUGAUCAUGAAUUAAUCUACCACAUAGGUUACAAAUAAUUCCUAUGAUCAUCUAAACAUCAUAAGAACAAGAAUAUGAAUAUGAACACUUUCAAGAAUCAAAAUCACAUUUAAUCUUUGUAAUUUUGAUAACUAGUUGUUGUAAAUGAGUUAGAAAAGACAUUACACCUUCUAAAAUAAGUUUUCAAGUACCAAAACAUUUUAGGGUAAUGAUUCUAAUCCAUUUCCAGCAACUCAAGUCGAAAUUCUGCACUCUGUCGACCCUACUCGCCGAGUGCAUAAACCUACUCGCCGAGUAGGUUGAAGAUACACAUGAACUCGACGAGUCCUCCCCAUGGACUCGCCGAGUCCAUCAGUCAGACAGCAGAAUUUUCGACUUUCUUCAACUUUUAAGCACAAAUAACAAACAAACAAGCCUAGGCUCUGAUACCACUGAUGGGUUUUGAGCAUUCUAACACUUCCUAAGUGUACAUGCAACCCUAAUAACCUUGGAUCUAUGUUUGUCUAAUUAUCAUGCAAAGUUGAAUUCCAAGGUUAUAUUCCUAUCUAGCAUACAUGGGGAACAAUUUUAACUUGAAUCAUAGAUAGAAUAACUUACCUUGUUGUUGCUUGUGUUCCUUGAAACCUUGUGAGCCUAGCACCCCAAGUGUGAUGCCUCAAAUGCUUCACACAACACCAAAUGCUCUUGGAAAGACUCUUGAGAUAACACACACUUCUCAAAAUCGGCCAAGCCCUCUAGUUUCUUAGUGUUCAACUUGUGUAGCCAAUUUUGUGGAGAAUGGGACUCUUAUAUAGUGUUGACACAUCUAGGGUUACACCAUGUUAACCCUAAUGUGUCAUGACUCUUCAUUUCCAUGACCCAUGGGUUUGUAACUCCCAUGGAGCAUCCAUGGAGUAUCCUAUGGGUAGAACCCAACUUGAUAAUCCAUGGAGCAUUUUAGCCCACUAUACAAGAUAUGGAUGAUUUACAUAACCAACCCAUAUAUUUAAUUAGUUAUCCUUUGAUCACUUAAUUAAUUCCAAAUUAAUUCUUUGAUCAACUAAUUAAAUAAUAUUAUUAAUAUGUUAGAACUUAUAAUAUAUUAAUAAUCUCCAAGUGUUAUUUCUCUCAUUUAGUCUAACCAAUUGCAUGGUGCCAUGCAACCCAAAUGGACCAUGCCGGGUCGGGUCAAGUACAAGCCCGAAAUAGUUAUGGACUUAGACACCUUAUCCAACACACCUAUCGUUCUGGAGGUAUCCCAGGCAGCUCCUCUGGUAAUACAUCCGCAUAAUCUUGCACCAUCGGAACAUCGCUUACCAUUGCCUUACCCGCCUCCCGGGUAUCCAAGACAUCAGCGACAUACCCAGUGCAACCCUGCUGUAGAUAGCGCCUAGCCCUCACUGCUGAACAUAAGGCUGGUCCGUGCUGUGGCCUCUUUCCCUGGAUCACUAGCUCUCCUCCACUCGGGGUCCUGAUCCAAACCAACUGUUGCGCGCAGUCAAUCACUUCCCCGUUGGGGCUCAACCAAUCCAUGCCUAUAAUCACCUUGUUCCCAUGCAACAGAACAGGAACCAUGUCUACCAAGUAGCGCUCCUCGAAUAGUCUCAGAACACAAUAUCUGAAAACCGCUGACGCUCGCACUAAUCGGUCAUCGACGAUCUCAACCUCUAGAGGGAAAUCCAACAUGCCCGAAGGCUCAGGGAACCUCUUGCUAAGUGCAAGGGAGACAAAUGAUCGGGUAGCACCCGAAUCGAACAACACCUGAACUAGUAUACCGUUCACAUGAAACGAUCCUAGACCAAACAUAAAACACAUACAUAAUUAUCAUAGCAACACAAAAUAAGAGCUAUGGAGAAGAAGUCAUACCCAUCACCACAUCGGGUGUGGUGCGUGCCUCCUCUGUAGUCAGCUGGAAGGCUCGGCUCCUCACCACUGGAGCCUCGGACUUGCCCUGCCGGCCAUCAGUAAUCCACAGGGUCGCUGGUGCUGGUGCCUUCACUGGCACUGCUGCUGCCAACCUUGAGCAAUUGGCCUUUUUAUGGCCUCGUUGGUUGCAGUGGAAACAUAACAUCUCUAAUGACUGAAUAGUGGGGGUAGGGGCAGUACAAUCCCUGCUAAAAUGCCUAGACUUGUCACAUUUGUAGCAGCCCGAUCCCCUUGACUUGCAGGGAUCCUCAUGUGGCUUGCCGCAUUUCCCAUAACAGCCCCGACCCUGCUGGCCCAUCGACCUAGCGUCGAAUCCCUUGGCUUUCUUUCCAAAAACCCCUGUGACCUGCUUAGACUACGACUUCCUCUUCCAGAGGUGCUCAAUGUCAAUCUCUCUCUCUCUCUCUCUCUCUCUCUCUCGCCCUCGCAACCAUAUCAUCUAAGGUCGGGUAUGCCGAGUAGCUGACAUGCUUUCGGAUGUCAUCCCUCAACAUGUCAUGGUAGCGGGUCUUCUGCAUCUCCUCAUCCCCCGCAUACUGAGGUACUAGUAAGGCCCUAUCCCUGAACUUGGCGGUAACCUCCGCCACCGUCUCGUUCGUCUGCCACAUAUCCAAAAACUCCAUGGCCAACUGCUGGAGUUCCACAUCCGAUGCAAAAUCCGCCCUAAACCUGGUCAUGAAGUCAGACCAGGUCAUAGCCUCAAUGGCAGAGGCUCCCAAGGAGUCACCCACCGACUCCCACUAAUCCCUAGCCCGGACCCUCAAACAUCCUGCAACGUAUCGGACCUUCGACCCCUCAGGGCUGAAGCUAAUCGACUGAGCAGACUCCAUGUCUGUAAUCCAUCUCCUGGCGACUAUAGGGUCUUUCACCCCAUGGAAGUGUGGUGCACCACAUCCCCUGAAGUCCUUAACGGACAAUGUGCGAACCCCUAACAAGCCGAAUGCCAUGUCACUCUGAAAUGCUCUGAGGCGAUCCUCCAUCAACUCGAUGAUCCCCUCCUUGAUCGACCAAAAAUCAUAGGGGCGCCUCAAGGAUGCCUCUUGUGAUCUCAGAUGCGAUGAAAUCGCAUAUCCCCUCAUCAACUGGCUCAGCACCUGAUCCCAAACCUGAACCUCCUCCUCCGUGACGUGUGAUCAUCACCAUUCUACAACAUAACAUAUAAUCAUCAGAAUCAUACAUAACUCUCGGGAAGAAUCAUACACUCUAUAGUUCCUUGAUUCCGUAUCAACCCUCUUGGACUUGGGUACGGAUACUCUGCUUUCAGUAGUACGGUCCCAUACUACCUCCCAUAUCUAUUCGUACCUUCCUCAAGGAUUACUUCAACUUCACCAAGUCCCUUCGACUAUUGUUUCACUCUUUGCUAAACUCAUCCUAGGCUCGCCCUAGGGUAGCUCUCCGACCUACUCUCCACCAUCAGCUACAUAAGGAACCCCUGUUACCCUUACUUGACCAGCUUGCGAAUACCAUUACAUAUUACUAAGACCAGAUAAUUAUUUGAAUGAAAGGUCCUACCCCACAAUGGUUGGACUCAAACAAGAGUUGUUCAGUAGGGCCAGACCUAACCUUCUGAAAUUAUUUCGUCCCCGUAGUAUGUAACUUAACGUAUUCAUUUACAAGUUAACUAAAGAUAACUAGAGCUCCCAGAGCACAAAGCAACAACAUUCGGGCAUUGAGUAACACAAUCCGACAUACUCUAUCCAAGCUAUCAUAUAACUAACUAAUCAAGAUUAUCUUGAAGCUCAAUAAACACAUAUAGCAGGCAUAUCAGGCAUCUUCCUAGAUCCUCUAGCCCUAUUCUAGCAGGAAAUUCUCAUACAUAUACAACAGGCAUAUAAGGCAUCCUUCCUAGACCCUUAACCUUAAUCUAGCAUGAUGAUUUUUAGGGUUUAAGGAUAUGCACACGUAUGUUGGGCGUAUUCCUAGUACGCUAGGUGUAUGUGCUUGACCUCCGCACUUCAUUUCCAUGAGUACGCUGGGCGUACCCGGUAUUGUACGCCCCAUGUACGCAACUCCCUCAGCCCACUAGCAAGGCCCAAAUAUCAAGCCCAACCCACACCACACCACACCUCAAUUAUAAUGAAUAAUAAUAAUACCUGGAAAAUCUCGGAUGCUACAAGAGGAUAACCAAAGAUGUGUCUGACAUCGAUCUUGCAACAGUUAUUUCUAAAGUAAAUCUUGUGGAGUCCAAUCCAAGGGAGUGGUGGAUUGAUAUGGGAGCUACCCAUCAUGUUUGCUUGAAUAGAGAAUGGUUCAGAAACUUCAAGGUUGUGGAUAAUGGUGAAAAGCUGUUCAUGGGAAACUCGACCACUUCUGAUAUCCAAGGUUUUGGCAAGAUUGUGUUGAAGAUGACGUCGGGAAGAGAGCUGACAUUGAAUGAUGUGUUGUAUGUACCCGAAAUUCGUAACAAUAUUGUGUCAGAUAAAACACCAUACAAGUUAUGGUCAGCUAUAAAACUAUCCUACAAAUACCUUCGAGUGUGGGGGUGCGUUGCAAAGGUCAUGGUACCUGCACCCAAGGUGGUUAAGAUAGGACCCAAGACUAUUGAUUGCAUAUGUGUUGGAUAUGCACAAAACAAUAGUGUGUAUCGAUUUCAUGCGCAUGACUCAAAAAUUCCAGAAAUUCACAAAGGCAUACAUCGUUCUUUGAGAAUGUGUUUCCAUGUCUUCAUAAGGUUGAGACAAAUGCUUCAAAGUUAAUUGAGCAUAAUGAAUACUCUUAUGAAGCAGAAAAAGAGGAAGAAAUAAAGCCCUGUAGAAGUAAAAGGGCACGAGUUGAGAAGUCAUUUGGAGAUGAUUUCUACACUUACAUGGUUGAAAGAGAGCAUCAAACCUUUAAAGAGGCAGUCACCUCCUCAGAAGGACCUCAAUGGAAAGAGGCAAUUAAAAUCGAAAUCGAUUCCAUCUUGCAAAAUCAUACAUGGGAGCUAGUGGAUUUACCUCAAGGUUGCAAACCACUAGGAUAUAAAUGGAUUUUCAAGAAGAAAAUGAAAGUGGAUGGAGCCAUUGACAAGUAUAAGGAAAGACUAGUAAUUAAAGGCUAUAGACAUAAAAGUGGCCUUGAUUACUUUGAUAUGUACUCUCCUAUCACACCUAUUACAUCCAUUAGAUUGGUACUUCCAAUCGCUUCUAUAAGAAAUCUUGAACUACAUCAAAUGGAUGUUAAAACAACUUUUCUAAACUGGGAUUUAGAAGAAGAAAUCUACACGGAACAACCAGAAGGGUAUGGUGCCCCUGGAAAGAAUCAAAGGUUUGAAAACUAGUGAAGUCAUUAUAUGGAUUGAAAUAAGCCCCAAAACAAUGGCAUCAAAAGUUUGACCAUGUGAUGUUGGAAAAUGGAUACAAGAUGAAUGAAUGUGACAAGUGUGUUUAUGUUAAAAACACAAGUGAGGGUUAUGUUAUCUUGUGCCUUUAUGUUGAUGAUAUGCUUAUUGUUGGUAGCAACGAUAAAAUGGUUCAAUCAACAAAGGAUAUGCUAAAGGAAAGAUUCGACAUGAAAGAUAUGGGUUUGGUAGACGUCAUCCUUGGUGUGAAGAUUACAAGGAAUGCAAAUAGACUUACUUUAAAUCAAACCCAUUAUGUGGAUAAAAUUCUUGAGAAGUUCAAUGUAAUGCCCGCAGAUCUAGGCUAGUCAAUUUUAAGAUGAUAAGCGUCAAAAAUGACUUUUUAAUAGAAGAUUAUUUAGAAUAAAUAAUCUUAAGAAAGUCAUAUUAUAUGUCACAAGGGUUCCGUACAUAUAAAUAACACGGAUUUAUUAUAUGUCACAAGGGUUCCGUACAUAUAAAUAACACUGAAAUCCGAGUUAUAACGAAGAAGUUAUGACCCGCCGAAGUUUUACGGCUAAACCGGUAUGACACCGUGUAACGUAAAAAGUGUAUUUUUGAUAAAAUAAUUUUUAGCUUGAGCGAACUAAACAAAAGUUGUAGUAUUCAUUAAACUGAGAGUGUGCAUCAGAAGAACGUCUAAAUCUGACUUCGUAUGAGGAAGUUAUGAUUUUUCUAAGAUUUAGCACAAUAGUGUACAGCCCGAAAUUCGAAUUUUAGAUCGGUUGAUUUUUAGCCAAAAUAAUCUAAACGAGAAAUGAAUAUAUCGUUAGUAGGAGUUAAACGAUAAAAAGACAGUCGAAAACGGAGCUCGAAUGCGAAAGAUAUGGAAGAAGCUUAGUCUCUACUCUUCAAGCGCGGCGAAUUCGAUACAGUUUUGUAAGUCUGAGAUAGAAUAAGAAUUAGCCAACGAGAUCUAAAUAAAAGUUUUAGUACUCGUAAAUACCAAAGUGUGGAUAUAAAUAACAUCGAUAAUAGAGCUCGUAUGCGAAAGAUGUGGACGAAACUUAGUCUAUACUUUUCAAGCGCGGCGAAUUCGAUACAGUUUUGUAAAUCUGAGAUACAAUGAGAAUUAGCCAACGGGGUCUAAAUGAAAGUUGUAGUACUCGUAAAUACCAACACGUGGAUAUAAAUAACAUAUAAAAAAAGGUAGUACGCGGAAGACAUGGACAAAUCUUUGGUAGAUGAAAGAGGAGGGAUGAAAGGGAUAUAAGUAAACAUUGGCGACUAUGAGACUUAGUGCCUAGACCCUGGCGACUAUGAGACUUAGUGCCUAAGCCAUGGUGACUAUGAGACGUAGUGCGUAUUGUAUAAACCUUGCUGACUAUGAGACUUAGUCCCUAAAUCUUGCCGACUAUGCGACGUAGUGCCUGUUGUAUAAACCCUAGCGACUAUGAAACUUAGUUCCUAAACCUUGGCGACUAUACGACUUAGUGCCUGUUGAGUAAACCCUGGAAAUGAUGGAUUUCGUGCUGACUUUUUAGGAUGAUCCUUACGAAUGAAUAAAUGAGGAAUAACUAAUUCUUAGGGUAGACCCUAGUAAAGACGAUAAUGGGGAUGGGUAAUUGGGUCGAUUGUUUGAUGUUUAAACAUAAUAACUAUAUUAUUGUGGGUUGAAAACCCUAUGUACUCACCAGGUUUCCCAACCUGACCCACUCAAGCUUAUUUGAAUCACAGGUGCCGAUACAAAGUUACAUCACACUGAGAGAUUAAAGAGGUGUAGAUCACUAGUGUAAAUGAACGUAACUUUCGAUUAUGCUUAUGUUUCUGUAUUGACAAUGACAUCCCAAAUGUUAUAAAAUGAAUAAAAAUACAUUUCUUCGGAACUGCUUUGAUAAUGUAUUUAUCAUGUUUUACUGGGAACAAAUUCCGCAACAUUUUUAUUAAAAGAAGUACUCUGAUUUUUAUAAAGUAUAAACAAAAUCCGUCUUUUCUAGCCGUGAAAAAUGGGGAUUUCACAGUUGGUAUUAGAGCAUUAGUUUAAGCGAACUAGGAAGAAGGAUUCAUUUAUAGACUUCAACUUAGAAUGCUAAGCGAUGAUCGUGAGGGGUGUGUCUAAUGAUUUUAGAUAAUACACCUUAAUAGACACAAGCACUAGCUUAUUUAGGGAAACUGUCUAACAUGCUUUUAUGUGCUAAAUGAUUUAUGAUAUGCGUGAUAUGCAUCGGAUCUAUGGUCUGUUGACGAUCGGAUCUGAAACUUUAUGUAUUCAUAUUUCUAAUCGUUUAACUAUGGUAUUACAACCGCCAUUUAACUUUUUGGAGUGAUAGGGAUAUUUACACGUCGAUCGGAAAUAAAAUAUUUCCUAUCUUAAUUCUCGUCAUUACACACCGGACCUCUGAAUUGGUGUAUAGAUCAAAAUGGCAAGAACUCGAAGUGGAGUCCAGAACGCAAAUGGAAACAGGAAUCAACCACCGGUGAUUGAGCAAUUACCUGUUGUAGUAACCGCUCUUGAGCCAAUCAAGAUGGCCAGAGUGCAAGCGUUGAUCCAAAUGAUGUUGGAUCAUCAAAUGAAGGAAACAAGGCAUUUAGUUCAAUAAAAGCAAGAGGAACUUACGAUGCCUAUUGAAUAACCAUAUGGAUAGUGUCGUAUGGUGUAGCCUAUUAGAGGCAUAGUCUAGGGAGAACUUGAAUACCUAUGUAAUCAUUUAAAGGAGUAAUAUAAAACCUUCGUUUUGUUAUCUAGUGUGUUAAGUUGUUAUGUCAUCUUCUUUUAUAAGUAGGUGUGAAUGGUAGUAGAGGCCUAAACUACCGGAAGCGCAAGACUCACACUUGCAUAAGGGAAAGUCACAAGAUUACCAAGGUGCUAGUAAUUGAUUCCGUUUUGUUCAUGUAUGUGAUUACCAUCGUUUCGGUAAUGACUAAGAAGAUGAUUAUUAUUCUAAACCUAAUGGUCAUAUCAUGUCGAGUCCGACUAAGAUGAGUAUGUUACAUGGUUCAGGGAACCAAGAUUGAUGUAGCAUUUGACUUAAGUCAGAAGAUUGAAGUGAAAGAUAAUUGAAGCGAUCAAUAGAAGUAUCACAACCAUUGUUAAGAUUAGAAGCUUGUACCUAGAAGUGCUACAUGCUAGAAUGUGAUUAUAUCACAUUAGAAGAUGAAGGAAGGUAUAUUCCAUUAUGUAAUUUGACUUAAAAGACUUGAGUCUAAGCAUUACAUCAUACGACGACAUGUCAUUAGAACAUGUCCCUUUCGGUCUGUUACAGUAAUCGAAGUAAAGACUGUUUCUGAAGGAGCAAGACUCUACAAUAAGGAUCGAGAUUGUGACUUAAAGGUCACGAUUGAAAGUCCAACGUGAGAUAGAGAGUGGGUAGUCAAUUUAGAGACAAUAAUCAUCCUAAGGAGGAGAUAAUUGUAAUGCAUGUAGAUCCGACUAGUCAAUUUAGAGACGAUAAGCGUCAAAAACGACUUUUUAAUAGAAGAUAAUUUAUAAUAAAUAAUCUUAACCAUGUUAUAUUAUAUGUCACAAGGGUUCCAUACAUAUAAAGAACGCUGAAAUCUGAGUUAUAACGAAGAAGUUAUGACUCGUCGAAGUUUUACGGCUAAACCCGCACAACACCACGUAACGUAAAAAGUGAAUUUUUGAUAAAAUAAUUUUUAUCCUUAGCGAUCUAAACAAAAUUUGUAGUAUUCAAUAAACCAAGAUCGUGCAUAAAAAGAACGUCCAAAUCUGACUUCGUAUGAGGAAGUUAUAAUUUUUCUAAGAUUUAGCCUAUCAGUACACAACCCGAAAUUCGAAUUUUAGAUUAGUCGAUUUUUAGCCAAAGUAAUCUAAAAAUGAAAUGAAGAUAUCGUUAAUAGGAGUUAAACGAUAAAAAGACAGUCGAAAACAGAGCUUGUAUGCGAAAGAUAUGGAUGAAGCUUAGUCUCUACUCUUCAAGCGCGGGGAAUUCGAUAUAGUUUUGUAAGUCUGAGAUAGAAUAAGAAUUUGCCAAUGAGGUCUAAAUGAAAGUUGUAGUACUCGUAAAUACCAAAGUGUAGAUAUAAAGAACGUCAAGAAUAGAGCUCGUAUGCGAAAUAUAUGGAUGAAAAUUAGUCUAUACUCUUCAAGCGCGGCGAAUUCGAUACAGUUUUGCAAAUCUGAGAUACAAUGAGAAUUAGCCAACGAGGUCUAAAUGAAAGUUGUAGUACUCAUAAAUACCAACUCGUGGAUAUAAAUAACGUAGAAAAUAGAGCUAGUACGCGGAAGACACAGACGGAACUUAGAGGCUAUUCUACAAUAAAAUCCCUAUAAAUAAAGGAUGAAUCCUUCAUAUUUCUUCACACCAUAAGCCUUUCUUUCUCUCUCUAACUUCUCACUAACUCCACCAAACCCCCAAAGGCUAGGGUACCUCCCUAGCACGAGAAGGAAGCCCCGGAGCUCCCGACGGCUCUGUGAAAAAGAGCUUUUCGGCUCAGAAACGUUGCUCCAGCAAAGCCCGUUUUUUAAUAAAACCCGUUGUAAGUGUGCUAUGCCUACCCUAUUUUAAAUAUAGCUUUUAUUUAAAUAUAGUAACGUUAUUCGGACCUUAUAAUAAUUAUUUGGGCUAUUAUUAUGAGUUAUAUAAGUGUCGUUAUAAUAUCUUUUUAACCACUCGCAGUACGGGGAAUCUGGUUUGAAAGGCUGCUUGGGUUGUUGGAUUUCAGAAGUGCUAUAUGCCAAAAUGGUCAUACCCUCUGGUGUUUCAUGUCUGGCCCCUGUCUGUACAUAGUAGGUGAACAAUAUUUUUUAACGCUUAUAUGAUAAUAAUAAUACUAAGCGUAUUAAUUAGUUACGAUGAACGUUAGACUAAAAUCUAGUGGUAAUGAUACUAGGUUUUUCAAAGGAAAAUUAUUUUUAAGAAGCGAGGUGCUGUCUAAGCUCGAAUUCAUCACUUUAACAAGUGACUGCAUAGUUACUUUCAUCUUACACAUAGAUAUGAAGUAUUUUAUAUAAAUUACGUGCUAUGUGUGCAUAUAACAUGUAUACUUGUUAUCAAAGUUGGAUGAACGAUUUUACACAUGUUUUAAAUGAUUUAAACUGUAUAUGUAGUUUAUAUCUACGAAUAUGUUGGGUAAAACAUGGGUAGAUGAGCAAGGAGGGAUGAAAGGGGAUAUAAGUAAGCAUUGGUGACUAUGAGACUUAGUGCCUAGACCCUGGCGACUAUGAGACUUAUUGCCUAAACCCUGGCGACUAUGCGAUGUACUGCAUGUUGUAUAAACCCUAGCGACAAUGAGACUUAGUACCUAAACCCUGGCGACUACUCGACGUAGUGCCUAUUGUAUAAAUCAUGGCGACUAUGAGACUUAGUGCCUAAACCAUGGCGAUUAUGCAACUUAGUGCUUGUUGAGUAAACCCUAGCAAUGAUGGAUUUCAUGCAGAUUCCUUAGGAUGAUCCUUAGGAAUGAAUGAACGAGGAAUAGCUAAUUCUUAGGGUAGAUCCUUAAGAGUAAAGAAGAUAAAGGGGAUGGGUAAUUGGGUCGAUUGUUUGAUGUUUAAACAUAACUAGAUGAGAAUCAUGCCCGCCCGUUGGCGCUGAGUCAUUUUAUUUUUUCUUUUUUCAGGUUUGGAUGUUGGUCCAGCCUAGUACGAGGGAUGUUCAUAUUAGUUACAUAGCCCCAACUACAUUAGCAACAGAUGGUUUAUAUUAGCUCUAUUUUUACCCCUCUAAUUUUUCUUUCUUGUUUCUUUGGCCCCUCCAAGAAAUAGAGAUAAUAAAUGAAGGGGUCUUUGGUCCGAAAAUUAAUUUACUGUUUAAGAAAAAUAGGCCAUUAAAUAAGAUAAAAAAAGAUGCAACCAACAGCCAGUCCUUCCGCUAACUCUAAAUCAUCUUCCAUAGAUUCAUGUUCUAUUUAGCAAGUAUCCACAAUUAUCUAAUUUACAAUCAUAUUUAAUGCUCACAAUCUUGAUGUUUCAUAGCAUAUGAAUAUUCAAUUUUUUUAUAAUCAAUGUGAAAUAGAUAAUGUACCUUGUAAAAUUACAUUCCAAGAUCGUUAUCUUGAUCGAAGUCUAACAUGAAAUCAGUCAACUUUUAAGAAUCGGAAAUAGCUUCCUCCAAUGUCAUGUUGCCUUUCCUUGACAAAUUUUGACCUAUUUAACAAAAGAAUUUCAAUUAUGGUUCAAAUGGGUAAAAUGAGAGAAUACAGAUUAAAAAGAUUACCUAUUGAUUUGCAAAGGUCAGGAGCACUUUUCGAAAUUAAUUUUUUUUCCCUCAUCAGCACUAAUGUCAACAGAUUUACCAGUAGAUUUACUUAUACCUUCAUCAUCACAAACUGUUGAUUUGACAUGUUUACAAAAUGAAAACAGUGAAAUGAGUAAUUGAAAAUAAUACAUUGAAGAAAAAAAAAACAAUAAUGGAGGCUUAUUUAAUACCUUUACUUUUUCAACCUUCUCUGAUGCCAAUCUUUUAUCAAUUUCAUCCUUUGAUGUUAUAUUUAUAUUCUGAUAAAUAACAGAAAAGUAAAUGUUAGCUUAAUCAAUGAAAAAUUAUAUAUAAAAGCAUUUAUUUAAAAAAAGGUUAAGUUUACUAAAAGGACCCCUGUAAUCAAUCACUUGAUGUGGAUCUUCUAUGUAGUUCACUAUUGGAUAAACCCAAUCUCCACCCCAUACUACAAAACCAAGGGCAAAUUUGUAAAAAGUCUAAUUAUGAUUUAUGUAUUAACUUAAUAAUUUGAAAACUUACUUUGCUUAAUUUGAUCUUCUCUGAUCCUCAUAGACAAUGGAUCUGUUUCAAUCCGAUGAUCAGUUCCCAACAUUAUGUGAUAUUCAGUAGCACCCAUUCUGAAUUGUAUACUAACAUACUUUUUUCAUCUCAUUCCUCUUCACCAUAGGUAGCUCCAUCCAAGCCUAUAGCAGUUAAUUUCGGAAUUUUUUGAUUAAAAAAAACUUAAAAAAAAUCAUCCCAGUACCUUGUUUUCUUGUUCUCGAAACAACUACAUCAAUCAUGUAAUCAGCUAAAGCCUUAAUAAUCGACUUUAUAUCGAAGUUAUGAAAAUUACUUUAUAAAAAUUACCUUUUACGCCCACACAAAAGAGUAUUCCAAGCACUAGUAAGAGCAGGGUCAACAUGCCAAGAUGCACCAAAUCUCUCUUGUCCAAUGAUAAGCCAUCUAAAAGGUGGUCUCUGAUCAUUAGCUAAUACAUCAAAAUAGUCAUCUGGGAAUAGAUUUGGCACAUUGUAAUCUUUUAAUAAAUCUGGUGCAACUUCUCCAAAUUGCAAUUACAAAGCCACAUUUCUUUUAAAGUAUCAAUAGAAAAUGGGGAGGUGGAGAAAUAAAUGAGAGUAAGAAAAUGUACAUUGUCAUAAAAAAUGCAUAGGGGAUCCUCAUUAUGUUGUUCUUGCAUGUAGGACACAUAAUCCUCAAACUUCAUGGAUAGUUUUUUAGCACUUCUUUGAGAGACUCUGAAAGGUGUAGUUCCAUAUUUGAGUAAUAGUUUUUCUGGAGUCCAGGUUUUUCUUGCAGCCCAAGUAUCAGCCAAUAUAGAAAUUAGAGCAUGCAUGGAGCAAGAUAGCAUAACUUUCUGAAUCAAAUAAUAUAAAAAUACAAGUUCAGAUAACUUUUUGAAUUAAAUGAAUGACUUACAGGUUUUUGUGCAUCAUAUUGUUGAAGGAACUCAUCUGGUUGAAUGUCUGUCUUUCUUUCAAAAUUUCCUUGAUCAAAAGCAAACCCAUUUAACUGAGUAUAGCAACGAUAUAAUCUCUUAUACAAGAAUAAAGAAUUAAACCAUGUAACAUUUAGUAAAGCAACCAAAGUGUUGAAUUGAAAAGUAUGACAUGUGAUAGAAUUGAAUACCAUCAAAGUGUAGUGGUUUUCUGCAAGGAUCAUCAUCACAUUUACUCAGAACUUGAAGUCUGCAGCUCAUAUUAGGCGUGUUAUUAAUAUCAUAUAAAUUGAAUUAAAGCAAAAGGAAAUUCUGAAAGCAUACCUAUGCAGUGUUGUCCUCUUCCAGGAUCCUUUGUACUGAAGCUCACGAUUUUCAUUAUUAAGGAAUAAGUUCAUCCACAAAGGUUCUUCAUUGCAGAGGAUAUACAUCACACUGCAAAUCAUAACCCUAAUUAAGCAGAUUUAAUCUCACUUAAUUAAUUCUUACUCUAUGAACUUAGCAAGACAGUGACAAGAGAACUAGUUUGUAAAAAUUGUUAUAAAACUUUAAAAAGUAUGCAGUAAGAUCUUUGAUAGAUCUAAGUUCAGUUUUUGUCAACGUAUGGAAAACUUGAAAGGAAUACGCAAAUCACACUAGCGAAUUGCCUAUUGUUUGAAGAUCACAAUAGGCAUUCAUUCUAAUCAUAAUCAUUAAUGAAGCCCAUAUGUAAGCUCAUCCACAAAUAUCUCCCAAAUUAGUAAGCUUUUCUUACUUCUAUAAACAUAAUAUACAUCGGAAUUACGAAUUUGGAAGAAAAGGACAAGAAAUUUAACAACCUGCUAGCACAAGCAAGACGAGCGACAUCACGAGGUGAGAGCAAAGUCAGUGUCGAACAAACGAUUUCAUCCAGAAGGACAUGGAAACCUACAAGAGCAUCAGGUCUCCGACCUCUCAGAACAACUUGAGCUUGCGAAUUCGCGUCCACCUCCAUUGAUCGCCUCCUUAAUACCAAAACUCAAUAGGGGUUUUAAUUACUCUCUAUAACUACUUUCUCAACUCGUAUCUAUAUUGUAAUCGAAAAGGGCGCGAUUCCUGCUUAAUGUUUACGCAAUUGUGCGGUGGCGCAUAGGCUAAUUUUUCUAUUUUCCUUAAUCGAGGAUUCGCCGCGUGCGGCGGAGGAUCAAAUUCCCAUUGACGUAACCCGUAAGUGACAAACACGGAGCUAGAAAGUUGUUGAUUAUUGCAAUUCUUCCGAGGUAUAACCCCCUCUGGUAUGGGAGGUAACAGAGCAGCCAUCAGACGUUAAAUUGUUGUUGACUCCUCAGAACGGCUUCAAUAGGAGCAGUAUAUCCCACCUAUACAAGCACAAAAAUUUUAAAAUCCACUAAAGCAAGAGAUAAUUUUGAAUUUAGGGCAAAAUAGAUGAGCAAUAGAUAUUGGCAUACAGAAGGAGGUUAUCUAGCGUUGGUCUAAGCGGAGGUGAAGCAGCAGAGCGAUGAAGAUAGGAGAGCAGGGUUAUCGAGUGAUAUCUAAGAAUGGGAGCUUUCAUAAUGAGAAUAGAUCUAAUCACAGGAAAAAGAUAACGAAUGAUUUCCAUGGCGGUGCAACAUCUGAUUGGGUGGAAGAGGCGGUGGUGGGAAAAGUGGGAUAAGAAGGAAGAGAAGAAUACGAUUUAUUGUGGCGUUUGAAUGAGAAGAAGAAGUUGGGUGGCAAAAAAUGAAAGAGAAAAAACUUUCUUGUUCUUCACUAUUUUAACAAUUAAUAGUAUAAAUAAUAUUUAUAUUAUUGUGGGUUGAAAACUCUAUGUACUCACCAGGUUUCCCAACCUAACCCACUCAAGCUUAUUUGAAUCACAGGUGCCGAUACGAAGUUACAUUACACUGAGAGAUUAAAGAGGUGUAGAUCACUAGUGUAAAUGAACGUAAGUUCCGUUUAUGCUUAUGUUUCUGUAUUGACAAUGACAUCCUAAAUGUUUUAAAAUGAAUAAAAAUACAUUUCUUCGAAAAUGCUUUUAUAACGUAUUUAUCAUGUUUUACUGGGAACAAAUUCCGCAACAUUUUUAUUAACAGAAGUACUCUGAUUUUUAUAAAGCAUAAACAAAACCGGUAUUUUCUGGCCAUGAAAAAUGGGGAUUUCACAGUUGGUAUCAGAGUUUUUUUUUAAGCGAACUAGGAAUAAGGAUUUAUUUCUAGACUUAAACUUAGAAUGCUAAGCGAUGAUCGUGAGGGGUGUGUCUAAUAAAUUUUCGUAAUACACCUUAAUAGACACAAGCACCAGCUUAUUUAGGGAAAAUACCUAACAUGCUUUUAUGUGCUAAAUGAUUUAUGAUAUGCAUGAUAUGCAUCAAAUCUAUGGUCUGUUGCCGACCGGAUCUGGAAACUUUAUGUGUUUAGAUUUCUAAUCAUUUAACUACGGUAUUAGAACUGUCAUGUAACUUUUCAGAGUGAUAGGGAGAUUUACACGUCGAUCGUAAAUAAAAUCUUUCCUAUCUUAAUUCUCGUCAUUACACACCGAACGUCUGAAUUACUGUAUAGAUCAAAAUGGCAAGAACCUGAAGUGGAUUCGGGAACACAAAUGGAAACAAGAAUCAACCACCAGUGAUUGAGCAAAUACCUAUUGUAGUAACCGCUCCUAAGCCAAUCAGGAUGGCUGGAGUGCAAGCGUUGAUCCAAAUGAUGUUGGAUCAUCAAAUGGAGGAAACAAGGCAUUUACUUCAACAAAAUCGAGAGGAACUUACAAUGCCUAUUGAACAGCUCGAGCUGAAUGACGGGCAGUUUGAGGAAGGGAACGACAGCUGGACCGUUGGUCAAUCUGAUCCACCGGUGAUUAGGAGGAACAAUCAGGAUGACGGAUUCGAGUGGAAUGGAUGCAAGUACAAAGAUUUUCUUACUUGCAAGCCAUCAACUUUCACUGGAAGGAAGAUCCGAUCGGAUUCAUCGAUUGGAUCUUGGAGAUGGAAUUAGCCUUCAUUAGAUGUGGUUGCAAAGGCAAGCUAGAAACCACAUUUGCAGUACGUCAAUUCAGAGGAGGCGAUGUUCGCUGGUGGAACACCCUGGGGAAGACUCUAAGCCCCAAUGAGCCCAUGCAACUGACUUGGUCAAAGUUUUUGGUGCAUUUCAAGAUCAAGUACUCCUCAGCCUAACAUUUGAGCGAGCUAGAAAACCAAUUCCGGACUUUGAAGAAAACUAGCAUGUCCAUCGAUGAAUACACCAACAACUUCUCCGAUAAAAUGGAAUUUGCCUUGCGCCUUGUCCCAGACGAGCUGACGAAAAUUGAAAAGUAUGCAAAGGGACUUCCAUGGGAGUAUGCGGUGCCAGUACGCCAGACACCUACUCUUAAGGCGGCUAUCUGGGCUGCUAAGUCUGUAGAAGAUAUGAUCAAGAGUAGAGCCGCCAACAAGGUCGAAGUUGACAAGAAACGGAAGCAUGAGGUAUCUUCAACGACCAACAAAGAAAGCAAAUUCUCAAUAUUUGGAGGUGGAGGGGAAGCUAAGUGGUGCGAGGGGUGUAAAAAGAAACACUUCGAGAAGUGUAGCGAGGAGAUGACUUGCUACAAAUGUGGAAAGACAGGGGAUUACACCAACAAGUGCGCACCCAACAAAAAGGUGUGCUACGGAUGUAACAAAGAAGGACAUAUUUCUAGAGAGUUCCCAAAGAAAAACGAGGCAGCGAGGCCAAACACACCACCAAAUCCAAGGGAAUUCCACAUGAUCCUUGACGAAGCAGAAAACAACGCAAUGAAUCGAGGAUGUGGACUUCAUCAAGUUAUGCAGCAACCAUAUGGAUAGUGUCGUAUGGUGUUGCCUAUUAGAGGCAUAGUCUAGGGUUAACUUGAAUACCUACGUAAUCAUUUAAAAGAGUAAUAUAAAACCUUCGUUUUGUUAUCUGUUGUGUUAAGUUGUUAUGUGAUCUUCUUGUAUGGUGACUUGGAAAGUUGCGAGACAAUACUUGGGACGAGUAUGAGUAGGUGUGAAUGGUAGUACAGGCCUAUACUACCGGAAGCACAAGACUCACACUUGGAUCAAGGAAAGUCAAAAGGUUACCAAGGUGCUAGUAAUGGAUUUCGUUUUGUUCAUGUAUGUCAUUACCAUUGUUUCGGUAAUGACUAAGAAGAUGAUUAUUAUUCUGACCCUAGUGGUCAUAUCAUGUCGAGUCCGACUAAGAUGAGUAUGUUACAUGGUUCAGAGAACCAAGAUCGAUGUAGCAUUUGACUUAAGUAAGAAGAUUGAAGUGAAAGAUAAUUGAAGCUAGCGAUCAAUAGAAGUAUCGCAACCAUUGUUAAGAUUAGAAGCUUGUACCUAAAAGUGCUACAUGCUAGAAUGUGAUUAUAUCACACUAGAACAUGAAGGAAGGUAUAUUCCAUUCUGGUAUUUAGAUUAAAUAAUCUUAACCAUGUUAUAUUAUAUGUCACCAGGGCUCCGUACAUAUAAAGAGCUCGAUCGGCUCAACUUCCUCUGCUGAAAUCGUAGAUGUCCCGACACAUACCAUAAGGAGGACGCAGUCCUUGCUGUUGGCUCCAGUGGUGGAUGUGGCUUCCCCAUACGGGAGUUCGUCCUUGAAAUCCCUUCCUAAAAGGAGGUCGAACGGAUGGAGGUCCGACGGUAGGCGGAUUGAUUACCUCAGGCUUUGAGGUUGAGCUAUCCGAAUCUUCCUCCUCCUCGUCUUCCAUGGCUUCCUCCUCGUGGUCGUCUUCAAUCCAUCCUCCAUUACCUUGGUUGGGGUAGUAGGGGUCGCCGGGGUGAUGGAAUCCAGCCAUUGAGUCUAUACGAGAAUAGGGCUAAGAAUUGACUAUAAGCUAAAGCAUGUAAAGAUUUACCCUUUAGUUUACAGUUGAAGAUACCCAAAUACUCCCAUAGUAUUCUUAAUGAUACGCUCUUUGGUAAGUUAUAAAUUUGUUGUCCACUACAGACACUCCCUGGCAUACGUUAGUCGGCUCUCGGACAAAUAUAGUUGAUCAAGCUAUAUUCAUCCCAGUUCUGAUUACAUGUCCCAAGGCACACCUACACUGUAUAAUUUAUUUAUAAUACUUCUAUAUUGAUCUAUUUAUGACACUGUUAUUAAAAUGAAAAGAAUGCAUACCUACUUUACAAAAAUUAAAUAAAUUUAAUUUUUUAAAGUAUGACUCUUACUCAGAGUGUUUUUGCCCAGAUGUGUUUAUAGUUGUAUACCAAAAAUGGUUUUGAUAUACUUAAUUCACUAUAAACUCUGCUCUGAUACCAAUCUGUCACACCCUAAACCAGAACGGCAGAAACGUUCGGGGGCGGAGGACGUCAUAUUCAGCAUCACAACAGUUUAUAGUAAGGAAAGUACACACCACCAAAUAUAUAAAUAUUUAAAAGUGUUUACAUAAUCGUAGUUGUUACAUAUUCAAAAUAUAAAUACAAUAACAUGUUUCAAAAGAAGUCAUUAACGCCAGAACGCUAAUCUCAAAAGAUGAUUUCCAAACCUGCUUAGCGGUUCCCUGAGAAUACAAGUUAUUUCAAAGAAAUGUGUCAACAAUUAAGUUGGUGAGUUCAUAAGCGGUUUUGAGAAAAUGUAUGUCAUUCCAAAGUUUGUGCGUUUUCCAAGAAAAUCCCUUAUUUUAUUCUAAAAGUAUGAGAUGCAUAUGAAUGUUGUGUUGUGAAUUGUAAAUAGUUGCACCAGGAAAAUCCCUUAUUUUCCUAUUAGUUGAUUGUUUUUAGAUACAGGAAAAUCCCUUAUUUUCCUAACGUAAUAGGCAGUCUCUAAUAUCCAAGACCGAAAAUCGCAAGCGACUGACAUGCUUAAAGGUUGAGGCAUAGUUUUAUAUAAUAAAGCUAUAAGAAGAUCGCACUUGUUAGAUGAAGAGUAGUUUUAAUAGCUACUCAUCCAAAAGAAAUCAGAAUACCAUAAUAAUUGUCUAUCCGGUGAGUUUUAUAACCAUACUAAACAUAAUAUGCCUGUGGCGACGGUCUUCAGGUGUCGACACGUUUAUGACAAACUGUCGCCCAGAGGAUUGUAGCUAACAGUCAGGGCGCGGGAUCAUGACUUCCCGUAUAGAUCUAUACACAUUUGACACGCUCUCCCACAGGAGACUCUGGUUAUAGUAGACAGGACUUUAGGUAAUACCUUUUAACAAAAAGGUAGCAUUUGAAGAUAUAAUCAUCUCACGGAUUCUCAACUAAAUCUCUAAUAAAGUAAUAGUUUUGUAUACAAACGUAUAAAUAAAACAUAUUUCUAUUUAUAAAACAAAUUGUACCCCAAGAGGGUAAGGUUGUGUUGUGAGGUGUUUUGCAUGAUAAAAACUUCAUACGACAGUUAAAACAACAGUAUGAAAAGUAUAGCAAAAGAUCGAUGUUUCACACGAUUUUAGCUAUGUGUUUACUUGUAUUCUCCCUGAAAUGUAUUAAAAGUACAUUAUAAAGUAUUUGAAGGCGUAUAAAAGGGGGUAUGAACUCACUUGAUUGAAGUGGUGGUGUUGAAGUAGUUGAGAGAAGAAUCGAGCAGAACUUCGGCUAGAGACAGUUGAAAUCUCGGGAUUCUCGGGGAUCUCGGGAGUGUAGAACCUCCUUUGGGACUCGAGUGUGAAAAACCGGGGCUUCGGGAAGGCUUAUCGAGGUAAUCACGCAGAGUAACGACACUUAGAAGGAAAGAAAUGAGCACCAAACCCAGCACCCUUAAGCUUCUGUUUAUAGGGGCUGAUUUGGGGUCUCACGUCGUGAGUUUGGGUUGCUCACGUCGUGAGGCUUAGUCAGCAUGAUCCUCUUCAAUGAGUUGACGUGGCUGACACAAUGGAACACAUCAAUCACGAUCUCACGUCGUGAGCAUGGUCCCCUCACGUCGUGAGGCUGAGUCAGCCUCCGAUUUUGUGUCCCGAACUUAUAAAAUCCGUAACUUUUGCAUACGCGCUCCAAUUUCGACGUUCUUUAUAUGCACACGUAGGUGUGAAAAGGCUCUACAACUCCUGUUUAGACUCCGUUGGCUAAUUUUGACAUUAUGUUUAUUAUAUUAUUUUUAACAGGUCGGGCCUGGAAAAGUCCGUUUAAAUUCCAUAACUCCUUCAUCUGGUGUCCAUCUUCGUCAGACUUUUUACUGUUGUACUCCUAUUGUCGGGGUCUUCAACUUUUGUUUAGGCUGUGUCGGCUAAAGACCGCUCGAUAUCUAUUUCGAGUUUUUAGUUGUCUACUGCUAGGUCAGAAACUUCGAAAAAUCAUAACUUCCUCAUACGAAGUCAGAUUGGGGCUUUCUUUUUACGUAAGUUCACGGUCUAAAGAUAUCUACAACUUUCAUUUAGAUACCUAAGGCUAAAAAAUAUUUAUUGAAAUUUCUCGUUUUAUGCUUAACAGCGCUUUACCGGUAGUGUUACGAAUCUUUGAUUGGUUAUAACUCCUUCAUUAUAACUCGGAUUUUAGUGUCCUUUAUAUUUUUGGAAACCUUAACACGAUAUCUACCACAUAGUGUACCCAAACAGAGCUUUUUGAACAUUUCACUUUCGAUGAUAUUUCUUAUUACUUUACAAAGAGGUUACAAGACUCGACUUUUAGUCAUUAUAUUGACCUGAAAUAACGCGUUGUUACAUUAUCCCCUCGUUAGAGGGAAUUUCGUCCCGAAAUUAAUGACAAAAUAAAAGUUUAGGGAAUAGGGAAAGAGAUGCAGAUACUUCUGUUGCAUCUGAUCUUUUCGCUCCCAUGUGAAUUCAGGUCCCCGCUUAGCAUUCCAGCGGACCUUCACUAUUGGUAUGCGACUCUGUUUAGCUCGUUUGAUUUCCCUAUCCAUGACCUCGACGAGUUCUUCCACAAAGUUAAGAUUUUCUUUAAGUUCGAUUUCAUCGAGUGGAAUCAUAAGAGUUUCGUCGGACAAACACUUUUUCAGGUUAGAUACGUGAAACACUGGAUGUACUUUGUUAAGCUCGAUAGGAAGUUGAAGUCUAUAAGCCACUGGACCAAUCCUUGAAGUAAUUUCGAAGGGUCCAAUGUACCUUGGAUUUAGUUUUCCAUACUUCCCAAAGCGUAUCAUGCACUUAUAGGGUGAGACCUUUAGUAGAACGCGGUCACCAACCUAAAAUUCCAAGGGUUGUCGUCUUUUUUCGGCAUAGCUCUUUUGCCUAUCCCUCGAGGCUUUCAGACAUUCUCGAAUUUGAACGAUCUUUUUAGUUGUUUCUCUAAUGAUCUCCAGACCAGUGAGAGUGCUAUCAUGGACUAGACCUUUUGCCAACUGUGUUUCGCCUACUUCCGCCCAGCACAGAGGUGAUCUGCACUUACGGCCGUAAAGGGCUUCAAAUGGAGCAGUCUUGAUACUAGUAUGAUAAUUGUUGUUAUAAGAGAACUUGACUAAUGGUAAGUGAACAUCCCAUGCUUUACCAAAGUCGAUUACACAUGCUCUCAAGAUGUCUUCUAGGGUUUGGAUCGUCCUCUCACUCUGUCCGUCAGUUUGUGGGUGAUAAGUUGUACUCAUAUCCAACCUUGUUCCCAUGGAUUUUUGCAAUGAUUGCCAGAAUCUGGAAGUGAAUCUACUGUCUCUGUUCAAGAUGAUAGACAUCGGCACUCCAUGAAGUCGCACGAUCUCUCGGAUGUGGGUUCUCGUUAGCUUUUCCAUCUUAUCAGUUUCCUUGAUCGGUAGGAAAUGAGCAGACUUGGUUAGUCUGUCGACGAUCACCCAAAUGGUGUCGUGACCACCCUGAGUCUUGGGUAGUUUUGUUAUGAAGUCCUUGGAAAUUUGUUCCCAUUUCCACUCAGGUAUUUCAGUUUUCCCGAAUGUUAACGAAUCUCACAUUUGUAGUCAUUGAGCAAUUCGACCCAACGUCAUUGUCUCAUGUUCAACUCCUUCUGGUCGAAUAUGUGUUGAGGGCUCUUGUGGUCUGUGAAGUUGGUGCACUUGGUACCGUAUAGGUAGUGCCUCCAGAUUUUUAGAGCAAAGACCACAACUCCAAGUUCUAAGUCAUGAGUGGUGUAGUUGACUUCGUGUGUUUUCCGUUGUCGGGAGGCAUACACAAUAACCUUUCAUCGCUGCAUUAGCACACAUCCCAACCCUUGAUUUGAAGCAUCACAAUACACCACAAAAUCUUCGAUCCCCUCCGGAAGAGAAAUAAUGGGUGCACUGCAUAGGGCCUGUUUCAGAGUCCGGAAUGCGGCAUCUUGCUUUUCUCCCCAGUUGUAGAUCACACCUUUCUGAGUUGGGGAGGUAAGAAGCUUUGCAAUGCUGGAGAAGUUCUAAAUGAACCUUCGAUAAUAACCAGCAAGGCCUAGAAAUUGGCGAAUCUUUGUUGGUGUAGUUGGUGCAGCCCAAUUUUCGAUAGCCUUGAUUUUAGAUGGAUCCAUUUAGAUUCCUUCUUCGCUGACCACGUGACCGAGGAAGUCCACUUUCCUAAUCCAAAAUUCGCAUUUUGAGAACUUCGCAUAAAGUCUCUCAGCUCGUAAUGUCUCGAAGAGUUGUCUCGGAUGUUGGCCAUGCUCUUCUUUACUCUUUGAAUAAAUGAGUAUGUCAUCUAUGAAUAUUAUCACAAAUUUAUCCAAGAAUGGACGACAAACCCGAUUCAUUAAGUCCAUGAAUACGGAAGGGGCAUUGGUUAGUCCAAAUGGCAUCACAACAAACUCGUAAUGUCUGUAUCUUGUUCGGAAGGCCGUCUUGGGAAUAUCAUUCUCCAGGACUUGCAGCUGGUGAUAUCCCGAUCUCAGAUCGAUCUUGGAGAAGUAGUUGGCUUCUUGGAGUUGGUCGAAUAAGUCGUCGAUUCAUGGUAGGGGAUAUCGGUUCUUAAUGGUAAGUUUGUUGAGCUCUCGGUAGUCGAUGCACAUCCUAAAUGAUCCAUCCUUCUUUUUCACAAACAACACUGGUGCUCCCCAAGGUGAGAUGCUCGGCCUGAUGAAUCCUUUGUUGAGUAGCUCAUUCAGUUGGCUGGAUAGCUCCUGCAUCUCUGCUGGGGCUAAUCGAUAUCGCACUUUGGCUACUAGGGUAGCUUCGGGAAUUAGAUCGAUUCUGAAUUCGACUUGUCUCGCGGGUGGUAUUCCUGGAAGAUCUUCAGGAAAAACAUCGGGGAAGUCGCAUACGCCAGGCACGCUCUUGAAAUCCUGGACUUCGCGUUUCACAUCCACAACAUGUGCUAAAAAAGCGUGACAUUCCAUGCGUAGGCACUUCUGAGCUUGGAUACACCAUAUAAUAUGAAGAGUGGUACUAGGUUUGUCGCCAUAGAUAAUGAGGGUUUCGCCGGUUGGCAGAUUAAGGCGAACGGCCUUAUCGUAACAUAAAAUGUCCGCAUGAUGAGAACUCGGCCAGUCCAUGCCUAUGAUGACAUCGAAACUCUUAAUCGAGAGUGGCAUGAGGAUGAUUGGAAAGGGAUUAUCGUUUAGAGUUAGGGUACAGUUUAAGUAUAUCUCCUUAUAGCCUUCUGUUUUACCGUCGGCCAUUUCUACUAUAAACGGUUCACUUAAUGAUUGGGGUGUUUGUUUCAGCAGACCUUUAAAAUUAUGACUUACAAAACUCCUCUCUGCUCCACUAUCAAACAAAAUGCAUGCAUACGAGUUAUCAAGAAGAAACGUACCCUUAACAACAGUGGGGUUUGCAAUGGCUUCAUCCUGUCCCAUUGCGAACACUCAGCCCCUUCCGCCGGUAUCCCUGUAGUUUGCCUUUGGGCAGUCCUUGCGGUAGUGUCCCGUGGCUCCGCACUCAAAGCAGGCGCGGCUUACUCCAACAUUAACAGUGAGGGCGACUUGUUGGGCUGGCUCCUUGCAGAAGCGGAUCGUAUGCCCCUUCUUAUUGCACCUGGUGCAUUUGAAGUCACUGCAAGGACCGUGGUGGUGGAAGCUAAAUGAUUUAUGAUAUGCAUGAUAUGCAUCGGAUCUCUGGUCUGUUGCCGACUCGAUAUGGAAACUUUAUGUGUUUAGAUUUCUAAUCAUUUAACUAUGAUAUUUGAACUACCAUGUAACUUUUCAGACUGAUAGGGAGAUUUACACGUUGAUCGUAAAUAAAAUCUUUCGUAUCUUAAUUCUCGUCAUUACACAUCGAACGUCUAAAUUAGUGUAUAGAUCAAAAUGGCAAGAACCCGAAGUGGAGUCGGGAACGCAAAUGGAAACAAGAAUGAACCACCAUUGAUUGAGGAGAUACCUAUUGUAGUAAUCGCUCCUGAGCCAAUCACGAUGGUCGGAGUGCAAGCGUUGAUCCAAAUGACGUUGGAUCGUCAAAUGGAGGAAACAAGGCAUUUACAUCAACAAAAUCGAGAGGAACUUACGAUGCCUAUUGAACAGCCCGAGCUAAAUGAUGGCCAGUCUGAGGAAGGGAACAACAGUAGGAACGUUGGUCAAUCAGAUCCACUGGUGAUUUGGAGGAACAAUUAAGAUGACGGAGUCGAGAGGAAUGGAUGCAAGUGCAGAGAUUUUUUGACUUGUAAGCCAUCAACUUUCACUAGGAAGGAAGAUCCGAUCAGAGUCAUGGAUUGGAUCUCAGAGAUGGAAUUAGCCUUCAUGACAUGUUGUUGCAAAGACAAGAUACAAACAAUAUUUGCAGUACGUCAGCUCAGAGGAGGCGAUGUUUGCUGGUGGAACACCCUAGGGAAGACUCUAAGCCCCAGUGAGCCCCUGCAACUGACUUGGGCAAUGUUUUUGGUGCAUUUCAAGAUCAAAUACUACUUAACCCAAUAUUUGAGCGAGCUAGAAAACCAAUUCCGGACUUUGAAGAAAACUAGCAUGUCCAUCGAUGAAUACACCAACAACUUCUCCGAUAAAAUGGAAUUUGCCUUGCGCCUUGUCCCAGAAGAGCUGAAGAAAAUUGAAAAGUAUCCAAAGGGACUUCCAUGGGAGUAUGUGGUGCCAGUAUGCCAGGCACCUACUCUUAAGGCGGCUAUCUGGGUUGCUAAGUCUGUAGAAAAUAUGAUCAAGAGUAGAGCCACUAACAAGGUCGAAGUUGGUGAGAAAUGGAAGCAUGAGGGAUCUUCAAAGACCAACAAAGAAAGAAAAUUCUCAAAAUUUGGAGGUAGAGGGGAAGCUAAGUGGUGCGAGGGGUGUAAAAGGAAACACUUUGGGAAGUGUAGCGAGGAGAUGACUUGCUACAAAUGUGGAAAGACAGGGGAUUAGGCCAACAAGUGUGCGCCCAACAAAAAGGUGUGCUACAGAUGUAACAAAGAAGGACAUAUUUCUAGAGAGUUCCCAAAGAAAAACGAGGCAGCGAGGCCAAACACACCACCAAAUCCAAGGGAAUUCCACAUGAUCCUCGACGAAGCAGAAAACAACACAAUGAAUCGAGGAUGAGGACUUCAUCAAGUUAUGCAGCAACCAUAUGGAUAGUGUCGUAUGGUGUUGCCUAUUAGAGGCAUAGUCUAGGGUUAACUUGAAUACCUACGUAAUCAUUUAAAAGAGUAAUAUAAAACCUUCGUUUUGUUAUCUGGUGUGUUAAGUUGUUAUGUGAUCUUCUUGUAUGGUGACUUGGAAAGUUGCGAGACAAUACUUGGGACGAGUAUGAGUAGGUGUGAAUGGUAGUACAGGCCUAUACUACCGGAAGCACAAGACUCACACUUGGAUCAAGGAAAGUCAAAAGGUUACCAAGGUGCUAGUAAUUGAUUUCGUUUUGUUCAUGUAUGUCAUUACCAUUGUUUCGGUAAUGACUAAGAAAAUGAUUAUUAUUCUGACCCUAGUGGUCAUAUCAUGUCGAGUCCGACUAAGAUGAGUAUGUUACAUGGUUCAGAGAACCAAGAUCGAUGUAGCAUUUGACUUAAGUAAGAAGAUUGAAGUGAAAGAUAAUUGAAGCGAUCAAUAGAAGUAUCGCAACCAUUGUUAAGAUUAGAAGCUUGUACCUAGAAGUGCUACAUGCUUAAAUGUGAUUAUAUCACAUUAGAACUUGAAGGAAGGUAUAUUCCGUUCUAGAAUUUGAGUAUAAAAGACCUGAGUCUAAGCUCUGCAUCAUACGACGAAAUGUCAUUAGAACAUGUCCCAUCGGUCUGUUACAGUAACCGAAGUAAAGACUGUUUCUGAAGGAGCAGGUUUCUACAAUAAGGAUCGAGAUUUUGACUUGAAGGUCACCAUUGAAAGUAGACCUAGCAAUGGUGCAGGUUUGGAGCGAAUCGAACUUGAUCCAAACCCUUUUAACAAAUUCCAAAACCCGCUCCAUAACCCGCAGGGUUUUGAAUAAUCAAACCCAUACCCUUAUCCACCGAAUCAGCAGAUAUCCAAACCCGCCCUGUAAUCCGUAGGUUUUUUGAAUAAUAAAACACAUUUUACUUAAAUCAUAAAAAUAUCACAUUUGUUAAAUAAUAUAAAUGUUGAUUUAGAAAACACAUUAUGUACUCGAAGACUUUCGAUUGGAAUUAAAAUCAUCAUUGUAGUUACUUCCAAUUGGUUUUUGACCCUUGAUUGCAUUGAUAGAGAAUAACAAUUACAAAUUUUCUUCUAGUUGAUAAUUGAAUUUAUUGAUUUAUAAAUGAAAUUGGUGAUUACAUGAUGAAAUAUAAAUGAAAUGAUAUCAUGAUUCUUGGGAGAAGACUGGAAGUCUAGAAGUUCAGUCCCCAAGUCCUAUGUAUAAAUAGUUUACUCUUUGGCCUUUUCUCUUUGGAAUUUCAAUUGGAAUUUAAAGUAAAAUUUUGGCAGUAUAAAACACAAAUGUAUUAUGUAUAAUUCUGAAAUUUAUAUGGGGCAGGUUAUAAAUGGAGCGGAUCGGUGAAGAUCCAUACCCGACACUUUUAAUAAAAGGGUUAGCAGGUACGGGUCGUUAACGGGUAAACGGAUAAAAAACUAUGCUCCAAACUCGUAUAAUUGUUAAGGAUUUGGAUCGGAUCAGGGUCAAAACCCGCUCCAUUUCCAGGCCUAAUUGAAAGUCCGACGUGAGAUAGAGAGCGGGUGCAAGAUUGAGCACCGCCUACAGUUAAGAAGUCUAAGAGUCAGAUACUCGUUCGAAGAAACAUAGAGGUUAUGGUUAUUACCUAGGAUGAAGAGAUAACAUAUGGAGUAAGUAUACAAGCCUUGUUUUGUUGAUGAUUACGGGACGUAAUCAUCCUAAGGGGGAGAUAAUUGUAACGCUCGCAUAUCCGGACUAGUUAAAUUAGAGACGAUAAGCGUCAAAAAUGACUUUUUAAUAGAAGAUUAUUUAGAAUAAAUAAUCUUAACCAAGUUGAAUUAUAUGUCAAAAGGGUUCCGUACAUAUAAAAACGCUGAAAUCCGAGUUAUAACAAAGAAGUUAUGACCCGUCGAAGUUUUACGGCAAAACCGUCACGACACCGCGUAACGUAAAAAGUGAAUUUUUGAUAAAAUACUUUUUAGCCUUAGCGAUCUAAAAAAAAUUCGUAGUAUUCAUUAAACUGAGAGCGUGCAUAAAAAGAACGUCCAAAUCUGACUUCGUAUAAGGAAGUUAUGAUUUUUCUAAGAUUUAGCAUAGCAGUGCACAACCCGAAAUUCGAAUUUUAGAUCAGUCGAUUUUUAGCCAAAAUAAUCUAAACAGGAAAUGAAAAUAUCAUUAAUAGGAGCUAAACGAUAAAAAGAUAGUGAAAAACGGAGCUCGUAUGCGAAUGAUAUGGGCGAAGCUUAGUCUCUACUCUUCAAGCGUGACGAAUUCGAUAUUGUUUUGUAAGUCUGAGAUAGAAUAAGAAUUAGCCAACGAGGUCUAAAUGAAAGUUUUAGUACUCGUAAAUACCAACACGUGGAUAUAAAUAACGUCAAGAAUAGAGCUCGUAUGCGAAAGAUGUGGACAAAACUUAUUCUCUACUCUUCAAGCGCGGCGAAUUCGAUACAGUUUUGUAAAUCUGUGAUACAAUGAGAAUUAGCCGGCGGGGUCUAAAUGAAAGUUGUAGUACUCGUAAAUACCAACAUGUGGAUAUAAAUAACGUAGAAAACAAAGCUCGUACAUGGAAGAUACGGACGAAACUUAGGAGAUACUCUACGAUAAAAUCCCUAUAAAUAAAGCAUGAAUCCUUCAUAUUUUCUUCACACCAUAAGCCUUUCUUUCUCUCUCUAACGUCUCUCUAACUCCCCCAAAGCCUAGGGUACCUCCGUAGCACGAGAAGGAAGCCCCGGAGCUCGCAACGGCUCCAAGGAAAAGAGCUUUUCAGUUCGGAAACGUUGCUCCAGUGAAGCCCGGUUUUUAAUAAAACCCGCUGUAAGUGAGCUACACCUACCGUAUUUUAAAUAUAGCUUUUUUUAAAUAUAGUAACGUUAUUAGGAACUUACAAUAAUUAUUUGGGCUAUUAUUAUGAGUUAUAUAAGUGUAACAUCUGGAUUCCCAGGUCUAUUAUUUUACUCAACUAUUUUUGGAGUUUGUGGAAGAACUCGACGAGUUGGAGCUUAGACUCGCCGAGUAGGGUCGCGGAUUGUCAUCCAAGUCACGACCGGACUCGGCGAGUCCAUUCGUGGACUCGUCGAGUCCACGCUGUUUAAUGAAACCCGACUCCCCCGGGUUUGGGGCCUAUUUAAGGGCACCUAUAGCCUCCCAUUGCGACUACCAGUCCCUUGAGAGAACCCUAAGUGAGCCAAAUCGUUUGAGAGGAAGGAGAAGUCACAUUUGAUCCUUGUACCUUUGGUUUAGCAAGAAGAAGGUGACCAUGAGCAAGAGGAGGUGCGAUUCUAGCAGUUCCAGAGUUCAGAGACUUCAUUUUGAGGUACCAGUUCGAACCUUCUUCAGUUUUGGUGUUGAUCCUUAGAGAUAGGGUUUUCUAACCCCUUUUGAGGGUGGUUAUGUGGAGCAAUUGGUCCCUCUUUGAGUUUGUGCCUUGGAUCUAGACUCAAAGAGGUCCAGAGACCUUAACCCUUGGAGCUUUAUGAGUCAUUUUGGGGUUAUUGGACUUAGGUUGUCAUUUUUGGGGCUAAAUCACCAUUUGAUGCCUUGUUGUUGGUAUAUAAGCAUCAAGAUUCAGACUUUACGGGACAUUCAUGCUUGGGAAGGCCAGAUCUACGGCUUAGGGGCACAGAUCUAACCUCAGGAGGUCAUUAGAGUUUGUGCAUGGCAUGAACUCGCCGAGUUGUUCUUGAAACUCGGCGAGAAGAGUUAGGGCUUCACGUAAAUCAUUCAGUGAGUGGACUUGCCGAGUUGGGGGAUAACUCAGUGAGUCAGAAAGGGACUAGAGGACUGGAGUUCAAGGCAGUACUCGCCGAGUUGUUCUUGAGACUCGGCGAGUUGAGUCGGGGUGGCCCCGUGAUUCAUGCUUGGUGUGACUUGUCGAGCAUAGGGAGGGACUCGACGUACCAAGCGGGACAAAGAGUUAGUGGACAUAUGUGUACUCGCCGAAUCACCGGAGUGCACUUAUGUGGUAAAAAGUGGUUUCCCUUAUUUGCUAUCAUUAUCAAAAUACUGAAUUUGAUUAUUAAAGAAAGCGAGAGACUACAGGGAAAUAACAUAAGCCUCAGCAGUGAGGACUGCUGACUAAGGCAAAGGAAUCAUAGACUCCAGGAGAGUAUCGAACUAACGACACGCCUGGUUCAGUCUAACAAGUAGAGACUCAGACCCCAGAAGGUACCCAAUGAAAGGUAUAGCUGGUAAGGUCUAAACAGUGAAAAACAGACCCCAGACAGUAUCAAAUGAAAGAUAUGUCUUGUAAGGUCAAUACAGAGAAAACAGACCCCAGACAGUAUCAAAUGAAAGAUACGUCUUGUAAGGUCAAAACAGAGAAAACACACCCCAGACAGUAUCAAAUGAAAGAUACGUCUUGUAAGGUCAAAACAAUGUGACUCUGUAAAUGAAUUACCAACAUACAGUGUAAAUUGCCGGUGAAAUACCAUUACCUUAAAGCCAAUGAAUUAUAAGGUAACCCAGGGUACUCGUAACCAUACUGACUAGAGUACCAGACGCCCUACAAGCGUCUAAAAGAUGACAUUUGUCACCCGUUGGCUUGGUAGGCCGGGACUGUAGCUAGCAGUCUAGGUGUGGGGUUGUCAAUCCCGUAUAGAUCUAUACACACAAUGUCUGCUCUCCCUACAGNNNNNNNNNNNNNNNNNNNNNNNNNNNNNNNNNNNNNNNNNNNNNNNNNNNNNNNNNNNNNNNNNNNNNNNNNNNNNNNNNNNNNNNNNNNNNNNNNNNNNNNNNNNNNNNNNNNNNNNNNNNNNNNNNNNNNNNNNNNNNNNNNNNNNNNNNNNNNNNNNNNNNNNNNNNNNNNNNNNNNNNNNNNNNNNNNNNNNNNNNNNNNNNNNNNNNNNNNNNNNNNNNNNNNNNNNNNNNNNNNNNNNNNNNNNNNNNNNNNNNNNNNNNNNNNNNNNNNNNNNNNNNNNNNNNNNNNNNNNNNNNNNNNNNNNNNNNNNNNNNNNNNNNNNNNNNNNNNNNNNNNNNNNNNNNNNNNNNNNNNNNNNNNNNNNNNNNNNNNNNNNNNNNNNNNNNNNNNNNNNNNNNNNNNNNNNNNNNNNNNNNNNNNNNNNNNNNNNNNNNNNNNNNNNNNNNNNNNNNNNNNNNNNNNNNNNNNNNNNNNNNNNNNNNNNNNNNNNNNNNNNNNNNNNNNNNNNNNNNNNNNNNNNNNNNNNNNNNNNNNNNNNNNNNNNNNNNNNNNNNNNNNNNNNNNNNNNNNNNNNNNNNNNNNNNNNNNNNNNNNNNNNNNNNNNNNNNNNNNNNNNNNNNNNNNNNNNNNNNNNNNNNNNNNNNNNNNNNNNNNNNNNNNNNNNNNNNNNNNNNNNNNNNNNNNNNNNNNNNNNNNNNNNNNNNNNNNNNNNNNNNNNNNNNNNNNNNNNNNNNNNNNNNNNNNNNNNNNNNNNNNNNNNNNNNNNNNNNNNNNNNNNNNNNNNNNNNNNNNNNNNNNNNNNNNNNNNNNNNNNNNNNNNNNNNNNNNNNNNNNNNNNNNNNNNNNNNNNNNNNNNNNNNNNNNNNNNNNNNNNNNNNNNNNNNNNNNNNNNNNNNNNNNNNNNNNNNNNNNNNNNNNNNNNNNNNNNNNNNNNNNNNNNNNNNNNNNNNNNNNNNNNNNNNNNNNNNNNNNNNNNNNNNNNNNNNNNNNNNNNNNNNNNNNNNNNNNNNNNNNNNNNNNNNNNNNNNNNNNNNNNNNNNNNNNNNNNNNNNNNNNNNNNNNNNNNNNNNNNNNNNNNNNNNNNNNNNNNNNNNNNCUUGUGCAUGCGGGUUAUCAAUCACAUGUGAUUGAUAUGAUAACUGGCAUGUUUAACUUGUAUUCCCCCUAUAAAACAUGUAAAAACAUAUAAAAGGUUCAUUCAGGGGUAUGAACUCACCUGGUGUAAGUAGGUCCGACAAAGGUGUCGUUCGGGCGUUCAGUGUCACGUAAAGACUCGAACACACUCAAUGACCUAUUUAACAUAUGAUAACAUAUGUUCACAUACAAUUAGUAUAUUUAAUACUAAUUAAACAAGUAUACGCGCUCAAAGGAGCGGAAAACACUUUGGGUAAGUGUUUGGGUGUCCUGGGUAGCACCUAAGGGCUCAAAUGGCUUAGGAAUGGAGUUUACUCUCCGAGACUAAACUCUCCAUACCAUGUUUACGGCCCAGGGACUACUCACCAUGAUUUUAUGGCCGUAAACUCAUGGUGAUGGGUUCUAGGGUGUUUUAAGGCUUCUAAUUUGUUCAAGGAAUUAUUCUAGGUCCAAAACUAUUUAGCGUGAAAGAGUUUAAGGUCUUUAAGGGCAUCUUUAGGGAGUUUACGGCCCAAGGACAACUCUUAAGGGAGUUUACGGCCGUAAACUCUCAUUCUUUGAGUUUUAUGAAGUUUAAAGCCCCUAAUACCUUCCUAGUAAUUUGUAGAAAUAGUCUAAGGCCAUUUAGGGGGCAAAAACCACAAUUUUGGCUUGGUUUGGGGAGUUUACGGCCUUGACACAUGUCUGGGCCGUAAACUCCUUUUCAUCCUUCCAUUCCUUGUGUUUAAAUGGUUUAAACCCAAAAUGAUAAGCCCCUAAUUUAUGUAUUAAGUCCAAGGGUGUUUUAGGAGUGUUUUUGGGACAUUUAGACAAGGUUUAGAGGUGUUUACGGCCUUGGCAUAUGCCUGGGCCAUAAACUCCCUUUUAUGCCCCAUUUUGUUUGUUUUAAAUGGUCAAACACUCCUAGGCUAAAUCCCCAAUUUAUUUCCAAGCCUUUAAGGACAUUUUGGGGUCAUUUUGGCCAAAUUUAAGGUGUUUACGGCCUUGGCAUAUGCCUGGGCCAUAAACUCCCUUUUAUGCCCCAUUUUGUUUGUUUUAAAUGGUCAAACACUCCUAGGCUAAAUCCCCAAUUUAUUUCCAAGCCUUUAAGGACAUUUUGGGGUCAUUUUGGCCAAAUUUAAGGUGUUUACGGCCUAAGGAGGAGCUUAGGCCCUAAACUCCUCUUCCCUAGCUUCUAAGUCCGAUUUUUGGGCUAUAAACACAAAUCAUAAUGUUUAGAAUAAGCUAGGGUAAGCGGACUUACGAUUUGGAAGCGUUUGGUUGCGGAUUCGUGGCGAAAACGAGUCUAGAGAGAGAGUAUAGGGAGAGAGGGUAGAAAAGCUCCAAAUGGAGUUUACUCCACUAUAUAUGGGUGGGAGUUGGAGCUCAGUGGAAUUCUACCCAAUACUUUCGUUAUAUGGGGCUUUUGGUCGCACCCGAUUUAGUGUUCGUAAUAAUAAAACUUAACAUUUUCCAAAUAAAUGGAAAUGUGUGUUAUGUGUUUUUAUUUCCUUUUUAUCACGACUUAACGGCAUAUUAAAUGUAAACAAAUGGAAUGUUUAUUAAAUUGACGACCUUUAAUUAAUGGAACUUUUACAAACUGGAAUAUUCCGUUAACGGUAACGGGGAAAUGUAACGAAACAACUUGGGUUGUCACAAUCAAGUGUUAUAAAUUCAGAAUCCAUGGUGGAUCUAGCUAUAACUGUUUGUUUUGAAGAUUUCCAUGAUAUAGAUCCACCUCCAAGUGUGAACAAAAACCCGCUGGUUAACUUGGAGUCUUUAAUGUCAGAUAUUCAAUUUGCAUCACUAUACCCUUCUAUCACAUCGGGAUAUCUUCUAUAGUGCAAGCCAUAAUUGCGAGUGCACCUUAAGUAUUGUAAUAAUAUUUGAACACUCUUCCAAUGUUCAUUACUUGGAUUAUUGGCAUAUUUACUUAGUCUGCUUAUUGAUAAAGCUAAGUGAGGUCUGGUACAACUCAUAAGGUACAUCAGACUACCAAUAAUUCUUGCAUAUUCGACUUGUGCAAUUCCUCCACUUCUAUUUUUACUUAGAUGAUGACUUGUAUCAAUUGGUGUCCUAGCUACAGUAGUAUCACCGAAGUUGAACUUCUCAUGAAUUUUAUCCACAUAAUAGGUUUGAUUUAAAGUAAGUCCAUUUGCAGUCCUUGUAAUCUUCACACCAAGGAUGACGUCUGCCAAACCCAUAUCUUUCAUGUCGAAUCUUGCAUUUAGCAUGUCCUUUGUUGAUUGAACCAUUUUAUCGUUGCUACCAACAAUAAGCAUAUCUUCAACAUAAAGUAACAAGAUAACAUAACCCUUACUUGUGUUUUUAACAUAAACACACUCAUUAAUCUUGUAUCCAUUUUCCAACAUCAUAUGUUCAAACUUUGUGUAAUGGCUCUUAAGCCAAGUGACAAUGAUAAUGAAAUGAAUAACUCUUCUACUUACUUGGUUGAGUCUUCAAAUAUAUGGCAUGCUAGAUUAGGACAUGUUAAUUUUGAUACUCUUCAUCGUUUAAUUAAACUCAAUCACAUACCACACUUUCACAUUGACUCAAAAUACAAAUGCAACACUUGUGUUUAAUCGAAAUUUACACAACAAUCUUUCAAGUCCAUUCAAAGGAUAACCGAACCACUUGGAUUAAUUCACACCGUUGUGUGUGACAUGAAAUCAAUUCCAUCUAAAGGUGGAAAUAAGUACUUUAGCACUUUUAUAGAUGAUUACACUAAAUUAUGCUAAGUCUAUUUACUUAAAAGUAAGGAUGAGGUUAUAGAGAAGUUUAAAGUGUAUAUAAGUGAAGUUGAGAAUCAACUUAAUAAGAAAAUUAGGGUACUAAGAAGUCACCGUAGAGGUGAAUAUGUAUCACCGUUUGAGGAAUUUUGUGCAACUCAUUGUAUCAUAAAUGAGCUUAAUGCACCUUAUUCACCACAACAAAAUGGUAUGGCAGAAAGGAAAAAUCGGACCUUAAAGGAAAUGAUGAAUGCCAUGUUAUUAAGUUCUGGGUUGCCACCCUCAAUGUGGGGAGAAGCUAUACUUUCAGGUAACUACCUUUUAAAUAAGGUCCCCCAAAAGAAAUCGGAUAAAACACCAUACGAGUUAUGGUCAGGUAUAAAACCAUCCUACAAAUAUUUUCGAGUGAUGGGGUGCCUUGCAAAGGUCGUGGUACCUGCACCCAAGGUGGUUAAGAUAAGACCCAAGAAUGUUGAUUGCAUAUUUGUUGGAUAUGCACAAAACAGUAGUGUGUAUCGAUUUCUUGUGCAUGACUCAAAAAUUCCAUAAAUUCACAAAGGCACAGUAAUGGAGUCAAGAAAUGCAUCGUUCUUUGAGAAUGUGUUUCCAUGUCUUCAUAAGGUUGAGACAAAUGCUUCAAAGUAAAUUGAGCAUAAUGAAUCCUCUUAUGAAGCAGAAAUAGAAGAAGAAACAGAUCCACGUAGAAGUAAAAGGGCACGAGUGGAGAAGUCAUUUGGAGAUGAUUUCUACACUUACAUGGUUGAAAGAGAGCAUCAAACUUUCAAAUAGGCAGUCACCUCCUCAGAAGGACAUCAAUGGAAAGAAGCAAUUAAAAGCGAAAUGGAUUCCAUCUUGCAAAACCAUACAUGGGAGCUAGUGGAUUUACCUCAAGGUUGCAAACCACUAGGCUAUAAAUUGAUUUUCAAGAAGAAAAUGAAAGUGGAUGGAACCAUGGACAAGUACAAGGCAAUACUAGUAAUUAAAGGCUAUAGACAGAAAAGUGGCCUUGAUUACGUUGAUACGUACUCUCUUGUCACACGUAUUACAUCCAUCAGAUUGAUACUUUCAAUCGCUUCUAUAAGAAAUCUUGAAGUACAUAAAAUGGAUGUUAAAAAAAACUUUUCUAAACGGGGAUUUAGAAUAAGAAAUCUACAUGGUACAACCAGAAGGGUAUGUUGCCCCAGGAAAAGAAUCAAAGGUUUGCAAACUAGUGAAGUCAUUAUAUGGGUUGAAACAAGCCCCAAAAUAGUGGCAUCACAAGUUUGACCACGUGAUGUUGGAAAAUGGAUACAAGAUUAAUGAAUGUAACAAGUGUGUUUAUGUUAAAAACACAAGUGAUGGUUAUGCUAUCUUGUGCCUUUAUGUUGAUGAUAUGCUUAUUGCUGGUAGUAACCAUAAAAUGGUGCAAUCAACAAAGGACAUGCUAAAGGCAAGAUUCGACAUGAAAGAUAUGGUUUUGGCAGACGUCAUCCUUGGUGUGAAGAUUUCAAGGACUACAAAUGGACUUAAUUUAAAUCAAACCCAUUAUGUGGAUAAAAUUCUUAAGAAGUUCAACUCCGGUGAUACUACUGUAGCUAGGACACCAAUUGAUACAAGUCAUCAUCUAAGUAAAAAUAGAGGUGAAAAGUUGAACAAGUCAAAUAUGCAAGAAUUAUUGGCAGUCUGAUGUACCCUAUGAGUUGUAACCGACCUAAGUUAGCAUUUGCAAUAAGCAGACUAAGUAGAUAUACCAGUAAUCCGAGUGAUGAACAUCGGAAGAAUAUUAAAAGGUUAUUACAAUACUUAAGGUACGCUGGCAAUUAUGGGGUGCACUAUACAAGAUAUCCCGAGGUGAUAGAAGGGUAUAGUGAUGCAAAUUGGAUAUCUAACAUUAAAGACUCCAAGUCAACCGACAAGUUUAUCUUCACACUUGGAGGUGGAGCUAUAUCAUGGAAAUCUUCAAAACAAAUAGUUAUAGCUAGAUCCACCAUCAAAUUUGAAUUUAUAGCACUUGAUAAAAGUAAACAAGAAGUUGAAUGGCUACGACGAUUUUUGGAAGAUAUACCGGGAUAGCCUAAACUAGUUUCGGCAAUCUCAGUCGAUUGCGAUAGUCAAUCGGCAAUUGGACGGGCACAAAGUGCUAUGUAUAAUGGUAAGUCUCGAUACAUCCGUCGAAGACACAACACCAUUCUAAAACUAAUCUCAACUGGAGUUAUCUUAAUUGACUACAUAAGGUCCAAAGAUAACAUUACGGAUCCGCUAACCAAAGGGUUAAACAGGGAGUUAGUUGCAAAAUCGUCAAAAGGAAUGGGAUUAAAACCCAUGAACAAAUAAGCUAUUGCGAAGGAGAACCCAAUGUAGUUGACUGGAGAUCCCAAAAUCUAGGUUCAAUGGGACAACCUACUUGCAUACAAUAUAUGUGGAUCACUAUGGGGUCAACCCCAACCCAUUCCUAUAAAUAAAAGUGAUGCAGGUUAAGCUUAUAAUAGUUGGUGAUAAGCUACAAAUCAUCACGCUUUAGCUUUUAAUGAUUAUCAUAUAAUCACCUAUGUGAGAGAGAAGUGGGGCCACUUCAAAAGGAAAUUGAAUGGGAAAGUUCCUAAAAGCUCUUACAGAACCAGGUUAGUGUCCACGACCAAAAACAGACACAUCAAUGAGAACCUAACUAGGUCAGGGAGAACCAUGUGAGACAUGUAUUGGUUAUUUACACAAAUGGCAGAACAGUUCAUGGACAUCGAGUCUACUGGUCCGCUAGUAAAAUAAAUAUGUAUCUUAAGGGAAGGUUCAAAGGAUCAAACCUACCUAUCAUGUACAUGAUUCAAUUGCUGGAUUUUACCUAAAGCAACUUGGAAUUGCGGAUGCUGAAGCAAUUUUCAUUCAUGUGGGGGAUUGUUGGAAAAUUAAUUUUGUUAAUUUCCAAAAACGGAUUUUCUCCAUUUUUUUAGCACAAAUUUCGGACUCUAAAUAUAACCAAAACGAGUUAUUGAUUAUAUAUUUGUGUUCUCCUCCAUGAUAUCUUCAUUUUAAUAUAUCACACGUACAAAACAGAUUAAAAAUGAAUGAGAAAUUACUUGUCAUAGUAGGAAAAUAGGAAGAGAAAGUAAAGGAGUUAAGUGUGUUUUAAAAUUCAUCCCACAUUCGUGGGAGAAUGAAAAGGAAAUUGGUUUAUAACUACAAAGACUAGCUACCUGUAUAAGGUUUAUUAGAACCAAGGCUCUCUCUUGUGCGCGCAUACAAGGGGGGUGCAAAUGCGAGCCAAAUUGGCUAUGGGCCAAUGAACUUAUGUGCGAGCGCAUUUCCUGCGGGCACAAAUGCACCACGUGUAGACCAGAAAAGGUUAUGGAAUUUUUUUUUAUUUUUUCCUUUUGGUUAACAGUUACAAAAACGAAUUAAGAGUAAUUAAUCAUAUAUUUUGUUUUUGAUUUCUUGAUUACUUUUCUUAUUUAAUUGUGACAGUUACAAUUUUGUUUUAAUUACAUCAGUUACAUUGGGUAAUAUAUAUACAACACCUAUGUGACUAUUUCAACACACCGGAUGAAAAAACUGAUGGGUUUUGAGCAUUCUAAUACAUCCUAAGUGUACAUGCAACCCUAAUAACCUUGGAUCUAUGUUUGUCUAAUAAUCAUGCAAAGUUAUUUUCCAAGGUUAUGAACCUAUCUAGCAUACAUGGGGUACAAUUUUCUUUGUAUAAAAGAUAGAACUACAUACCUUGUUGUUGAAAGUGUUCCUUGAAACCUUGUGAGCCUAGCACCUCAAGUGUGAUGCCCCAAAUGCUUCACACAACACCAAAUGCAAAGAAUAAACUUGAGAGAAUACUCUAACACAUGCAAAAUCGGCCAAGCCCUCUUCUUUCUUAGAGUAGUCGAUUUUGGGGAGAGUUAUAUUGCUUAUAUAGUGUGUUGCAUUAGGUAAACCCUAAUGUUCCAUGACUCUUCAUUUCUUGAUCCACGGGUUAACUCCAUGGAGCAUCCAUGGAGCAUCUUAUGGGUGGAACCCAACUUGAUAAUCCAUGGAGCCUCCUAGCCCACUAUAUAAGAUAUGGAAGAUUUACUUAAUCUACCCAUAUAUCUAAUUAGUUAUCUUUUGAUCACUUAAUUAAUUCUUGAUCAAAACUAAUUAAAUAAUAUUAUUAAUAUAUUAGAACUUAUAAUAUAUUAAUAAACCAUAUGUGUUAUUUCUCUCAUUUNUUAGACACCUUAUCCAACAGUCUCCCACUUGGAUAAGUCUAAUAACUAUAACUGCAAUACUUCAGGAACCGAUCGGCAAUCGUAGCUCUUUCAAGGUCUCUCGGAACUGAGAAGAUGUUGAUACGCCAUUUAAGAUAAGUGAUCAUAUAAUCCUCUGUUCUAGAUAUCAGCCGGACAAUUACAUGGAACAAUGUCUUACUUAUUGUCCAGCAAUUUGUUUCCCGAUUCCCGAUUUGUUUGACAAAGAACUUAAUUGAACACAUCAACUUAGUUCUGACCGGGCCCGGUACAUAGGUCAAAACAAAAUCAUCGAGGGGCCCAGAUAUCAGCUUCUAAUCCAAGAAGGAACAGAUAAACUUCGACUCAUAUGUUUGUUCUACUACUAGUUGAAUUAUACACAAAAGCACGUUUUAUAACAUCGAGUUACCAAUGCGUUUUCGUACAAUCAAUGCAUAAUCAAUUCAUAGGCAACAAAUCAUAUCUCUAGGUUUGAAGACUUAUAUGAUAUUACCGUCUCAUGAUCACUCGAGAUAAAAUUCCAUGAAGUGAUUUUAGUGAGCGUGGGUUGAUUCCAAUACUUAGAACUUAUGAGCACUCAUGAAGUGUUGUCUUAUAUCCUGACACCUACAACCAACUUCAUAAUCGUCUUACUUCAUAUCUACUUCCAACAUAUGACUGACUAUGGAAAGUUUGAAUAAUAUGUGAAACCACAACAUACUAUUAUGGAAGUCAAAACAUGCAAAAGAAAUUAUAGUAAACGAUUGACAAAAGAUAGAAACACUUUACUCAUGAAUAAACACAACUUUUAUUCAUCAUCAAAUGUCAAUUACACUUUAAAAUUUUCAUAGGUUAUCUAACUACUAAAACUUAUAUCAUCCUUCAGCCCUAUGCUCUGAGCAUGCUGGAGAUGCUUAACCCUACUCAGUCCCUUCAUGAGGGGAUCCGCUGGGUUCUCAUCCGAUGAUACCAUCUUUGCCACCAGGAUUCCUUCUUCUAUACGAUGUCUGAUAAAAUGAUAUUUUCUAUCGAUGUGUCUGGAUCUACCGUGAUCCCUUGGUCCCUUGGCUAAGGCAACAACACUUUCACUAUCAUAGAAAAUUUUCAUGGGCUCCUUUAUAGUUGGUACUACUCCAAGGUCUCCUAUGAAGUUCUUCAGCCAUAUAGCCUCCUUUGCUGCCUUGCUCGCUGCUAUAUACUCUGAUUCACAAGUGGAAUCAGCCACUGUCUCCUGCUUGGAACUCUUCCAAGUGAUUGCUCCUCCGUUUAGGGUGAAGACCCAGCCCGACUAAGAGCGGAAAUUAUCCCUAUCAGUCUGGAAACCAGCAUCACAAUACCCUACAACUCUCAAGUCAUCACUCCCACCGUGGGUAAGGACCCAGUCCUAAGUCCUCCAUGGGUACUUGAGGAUAUUCUUUACCGCAAUCCAGUGAGCCUUUCCAGGGUUCCUCUGAUACCUGCUAACCAUGCUCAAGGCAAAGGCUACAUCAGUUCGAGUACAAGUCAUAGCAUACAUGAUCGAGCCUACUGCCGAAGCAUAAGGCACUCAACUCAUUUAUGCUAUCUCAGCCUCAAUAUUAGGACUUUGUGUCUUACUCAAUCUGGUGUUACUCUGGAUGGGUAACUCUCCUUUCUUGGAGUUUUGCAUGUUGAAUCUCUUCAACACCUUGUCCAAGUAGGUACUUUGACUAAGUCCAAUUAGUCUUUUACUCCGGUCUCUCAAAAUCCUUAUCCCUAGAAUAUAGGUAGCUUCUCCUAGGUCCUUCAUAGAGAAACACUUCCCAAGCCAGGACUUAACUUCCUGCAGAGUUGGGAUGUCAUUUCCUAUGAGUAGUAUGUCAUCCACAUACAAUACCAAAAAGCUAACUAUACUCCCACUAGCCUUGACAUACACACAAGAUUCAUCUUCACUCCUAGAAAAGCCAAAUUCCUUGACUUUUUC
rnacentral:lncRNA from 1 species